rnacentral:lncRNA from 1 species
ACGAGCAGAACACGAGCUGUAUUUUUUGGCUCGAUACUUUAAAGAGCCAACUCGUGCCGGCCCAGCUCGCUCGUGUUUGGCUUGUUACAACCCUAAAGUGGUAUUACCGGCCUCAUACCUGUUAUGUAUGAAUUGGAAUGCUAAAACUAAUCUUUAUCCGCUUCCUGCUAAAUUGCUCUAUAUUUUUUGAAAGGAAUAUCAUAUACGACAAUUAAAAAGAAAAACAAUCAAAGUCAAACUAAAAUAAAUAUUUUAAACCACAAUUAAAAUCAAACAAUUUGUUGAAAAGUCAAAAUUCAUAUCCGUAAUAAAAAAAAAACCAGGUCCUCCUAUUCAAUAUAAAAAUUAAGCCAUGUCAAAUAAUUUACAACUUCAAUUCAGUUACAUGAGAAAAUUUUUUUUCUCUUUUAUAUGUAUAAAAUAACUUCUAUUUGGAUCAAUUUGAGGUAUGAUUUCGUGUUUAAAUGUGGUUCAAUUUAGGGUACAAUUUUUUUUUCUUUAAAGAGUGAAAAAUAACAUGCAUGCUAUCUACUUCCUUUAUUUAUUAAGAAACGAACUUAGCAGGAAAUAUAAAAUAACUGAAUUUCGAACUUGAAACCUUACAUACCAAUCAUCAAGCCUUUUGUCAUUUACAUGUGAAGUAACUAUAAUUCAAACACGAAACCUCGAUUAGUAUUCCUAAAGCAUUUUGCCAUUUUUGGACUUCGAAUACCUCGAAUACCAACAAUAAAGUUUUUUGUCAUAUCCGCGCGGAGAGUAGUGUUUUUUAUAUUUUUGUAUUUAAUAUUAUCUCUCACGUCUGGAUUGGAGAUAUUUUAAUAUGUCUAAAAUAUGGACUUAAUUAAAUAGGAAAAUAUUAAGCAACACUCGGAGACUCCCAAGACAUGAACUUAAUUAAGCAGGAGAAAAUUAAAUAACGCUAGGAAUCUGGUGGGACUUAGGACUCUGCACCUCCCUGUCACAGACAAAAUGUUUUCCGCUAACUUUUUCUUGACAGUGGCCUAAUCUCCGAAGGAGCGUUCUAUCGGAGGUUUUGCUAGGGCAUUUUAGAAGCUUCUACGCAGAUAUCAAGACUAAUGGUGCGGAUGCCGAAGGGUCAAGAGUCUCUUAGAGUUUCUAGGUGGACAAUAAAUGCAGUCUCUUGGGAGCACAUAGCAUCCCUUUUUUGUCUUGUAGUUAUGCGCCACUUAGCGCCUUUUCAUUUGUAACAUGGGUGGCGAUUGGUCUAUAUAAGGAUAUGGCAUCUAUCCCCUCUCAUUAGCUAGGAAAUCAGUUGUACUCUCAACUUUUACCAAUAUACAACAUUACUCAAACUCUCUCUAUCUCUUGUACUUAGUCCUAGGGCAAGAAGGUCCUGACUUAGCAAGUAGAGAGAUAGGCUUGCUCACUUCGCGAAGGAAGGCGAGCGCCGCACGGGCUAGACGAGCGAUUCAGCUUAAGUCCGUGACAUCUCGCUCUAAUAGCAUGUUUAAAAAUAUGAAUCAACCAUUGCUCUUCAAAAGUUUAAAUUAUUAGAAAAUGGUAUUUUUCAAUAUUUAUUUUCAAUUGGUACUCUCUCCAAAUGAAUAUUUAUAUUAAACAUAAUUAAAUAGGAAGAAAUUAAUAGUGUUACAAGUGUCUAAACUUGAACUCAGGAUCUCUUGCUCUAGUAGAGACCAGUAUUUUUAUAUUUUUAUAUUUAAAAAAUGUACAGUUAAUUUAGGGUAUGGUUGUGGCGUCGUAUGUGAGUGUGUUUGGAAAGGAAUUCAAUUAUGUAGCAAUCAUAUCACAUCAUCUAUAAUCAGCCAGUCACAUCUCUUUAUUUGAGAGAAAAAUAUAUAAUUUCCUUUGUUUUAAUAACCGGGACGGGUGAAAUUCUCAUCUCACACUUCCGGCUGGUAAUUGGCUCUGAUACCAUCUGAAACAACCGUUGUACUCUAAAAGCUUAAGCUGUUAGAGAACAGUGUUUUAAACAUUUUUAUAUUUAACACUUCCCCUCAUGUCUGGACUCGAGACUUUUUAGUCGGCCCAUGACGUGAGCUUGAAUUAAAUGGGAGGAAAUUAAUAUGCUAGGAGCCUGGCAUGACUCGAACUCAGGACCUCCUGCUCUGAUACCAUUUGUAACGCCCCAACUUCCCAGGGGGUUACCCAUCCUAGAACUACUCCCGUCCUAGCACGCUUAACUCUCUUAACCUCUUGGGUCUAGCCACCACCCAAAAUGCUUAAGCCGGGUUAAGAGUUUAGCCAUAUUAUAUCUCAUAUAUAUGACUAUAUGGGGUCUCACAUAAACUUCAGCACUUUUGUAAAUGGACAUCUAAAUCCUUUAAAUUUUAACAAUAACAUCCUAAACUUUAGUUCUUUUGUAAAGAAAUCCUAAAUCUUUAAUUCUAGUAAUUAUAUUGUUUAAAUUUUGUCAAAUAGUGUAAUACUCUUGUUAUGGGCCGAACUUCCUUAUCUUUGACCUGGUCAAAGAUCUUCCUUGGGAAUGAUGCAAGGAAGCAAAACGGCUUCGAAUAUUGACUCUCGAAGUUUGCGCUCUUCGACUGAAUCAAGUGAUUCGGCUGAUGAGGGAUCGGGUCGGCCGAGUUCGAAAAUCCUAAGGUGAAUUCGGAUCGGCAGGAUGAGCCGAAUGUACGGACUGCACAAAAACUAAAGUCGGCCAAAGAGUCGAAUGGAAGAACAACACAGUGAUUAGUCGGCUUGAAGAGCCGAAAGCCUUUAAGUAUAUUGAAACUGACUGGCGGGAAGAAUACAGGAAUCGAGUGUGCCUAAUGGCAUACAGAUUCGGUUGAUCUAACUUAGAAACUAUUCCUAGGAAAGCAGUAAGUGCGAGAAAAUAAAAGAUUACAAGUAGACUACUCCUAAUGAAUGCGAGGAAAGUGCAAAGAAAAUAAGGAUAGUCUUUUGUUCACGGAAAAAAGACCCCUUUUUAGGACGUUAUUGGCCUAUUUAUAGAUCACCCCUAUUGAUCAGUUAUUAUCAGUCCAUAAUCGGCUACUAUUCCCUAAUUUUUCGGGUCACUUCCAGCCGAUCGGAACCGCUUGCAACUGCUCGCGGUUGCUGUAACUUGCCUUAAUUUACGCGGUGGUUUUACUUAAAAAUCUUUCCGAUGCUCCCGGUGCACAGCAAGAUUACUACCUUUAAAUGAAGUGUCAGCGUACCACGUGUCCGCGCCUAAUUUGGCUCAACAAUUGCCCCCUUGGCAGUUUCCGAACAGACGCUUCGGCAGCUGGCGUAAUCCGAGACGCGGUUCCCAAACCAAUUACUUUUCAAAUUCUUCGUACAGCUUCGCAACAGCCGUUCACUUUCCUUCUACGACCGUGAUCCCGCUAUCGCUUCGAGAACUAGCGUGAUCCAAGGCGUGGCCCUCGAUAUAUCCGAUUUCAAAUCUUCUGUACGAUUUCAUUCCAGUCGUCCAUUUCCUGUCCACGGCUACGAUUCUGUCAUUCCUUUUUGUCUUAUGUGCGGUAUUAAUUUGGUCAUCUUAAUUACCGCCGUCUUUUCAUCAUUAUAACCGUCUCGGGAAACUAUUCCGACGCGACGGCUAUUUUCCUUCUUCACCAAGCUUCCUCUUUCUUCAUUCCUUUUCGAUUUCAGGCUUUGUCAUCUUCGCCCUCUUUGUUUCUUCUCAUAUUCUCCGACCUCUUUACUUUCCCACUUCUCUAGUUCACAGCUUUUGCUCACUUUCUUCUUCUUUAGCAUCUUUUCGCUUCCUAGCAAUGGCGCCACUUCUACCUUUACCUACUCGUCCAUCGCUGGAUUAUACCCUGCUUAAACCAUAUCUCUCUUCGGACCCUACUAGAUUCAUUUUGGGUUCCUCCUUUACUGAAGACCCGGCUUCCGAUGACUUCCCUUAUUCUAGCGACGGUCUUCCAUUGGUGGCCAAAUCCAUUCAUCUCCAUUCUUGGUAUUCGUCGGUUUCGACAGGAAAAAGCCUUCGAACUUAGCCAACUAUUUCAGAUGCCUACUUGGCUUGGUUAGACCGAGUGGAGGCUGUCUUUGGCGAUUUUUGGCGGGAGGUUGGUAUAUAUGAAGCCAUUCGAUUAUCUCGGCAUCCCCCUAUAGCUGAUAAUCUUCUUUUAGCUUCUGCCCUCUGUUUUUGGUCCCCUGUUUUCAUUUUUUUUUUUCAAAGGAGAACCUCUUACUCCGAUUCUCUUUGAUGUAGCUGCCAUCAUUGGUUUACACCCUCAUUGAGUUACCUUUUCCAUGGCCUACAAUCCUGAUGGCGUAUCUGACUUUGAGGCUCAUCUUGACAUCACUGACUUGGCUUAUUCCAAGUUCCUCCGUAAAUUUACAGGUGAAUCCCCUGCUCCUGUCACUAGGAAGGAACACACAGCGUUCCUCCUAUAUUGGUUAUGUCACAAUCUCUUCUGCACUCGUUUGCAGAAGAUUAAUCGGGACUUCGUCUCAAUCGCCGUUGGUUUGACUAACGGCGAUAGAUUAGCUCUAAGGCCUUAUUUUCUUACCUUUGUUUAUAGAAAAAUUUUUGAUUCCAUCAAACCACUACCCUCUGGAGACGGUGUAACAAUCAGUUCGGGUUGUGGUGUUUUCUGAUUUUUACAAAUAUUUUUACAAAUUUAUUUUCAUAAUUUGUGCUGAAACUCUUUAGAGUCGGGUUCGGCUGCUCAUUUUGAUUCUUACGGGCUGGCUCUCGGCUGUCCUCCGCCGCUAACAUCAGGCCACCUUUCUGAUUUUCUCUCUUAUUUUAAAAUGUUUUAUGAAUCCCGUCCUCAUUUCUCCAUUUCUUGGUCUCUAUUUGUUGACCGUGUCACUGGCCCGUCUUGGUUUCUGGCGAGGUAUGAGGCUUUUCAAGGCGAACUAGAUUCCUCUCGUGCCAGUGAAUAUUCGGAUGUUUGGUAUUCUUUUUUGGCUACAAGGAAUUUGCAUAUUAGAUUAAAAUUGCGCUCGAAACUACUGCCCAGCACUGAGGUUUAUUCCACUCAGUUCGUGGCGUGUCAAUUUGGAUUUACCCAAGCAGUCCCUGCUCCGGCUAAGUUCUUCAUGGCCAAUACUGCCGUCAACCGAUCCCCUACCAUAAGCCGAUCGGAUCUCGGCUAUGGGGAAUCGCCUUCGGCGGUACUUCAAAUUAGUGAGCUUCAGGCCGAAUUAUACAGGGGUAGUAGGUUUCCGUUAUACUGUUACCUGUGAUCAUUUUGCCGAUCGCAUCUUCAGCUUAUCCACGACACAGGCGUACCGCCAGACUAUUCACCCAAUUGGUACAACCCUUGUUUAUAAUUACUUUCCUUUAUUUUUAUAAAAAUAAUUCUUAUUUACUUGUCUCUCAGAUACAGUGGUACCCUUCCCAAGCAAAGAUCUUCCAAUUGAUCUCGCUGCUCCAUUUGUGCCAAAAGAAGAUCCAGAGGAGAUUUCUGAUCAUACCUCUUAUGUCUUGCCUUCUUUUUCUGUAAUAAACUUUGCUUUUAUUUUAAUUUGCUUUCUUAACAUAACUCAUACUUACUUCAACUUUAUCUAUUUUAUAUGCAGUCAAUUCCAACUUCUUCAUCAAUCCCAGCUUCAGAGAAAAGACCGAUUGAAACUGCACAAUCUACUCCUCCGCUGUCUCCAAAGCGGCGUAAAACGGUUGUCAAGAGACCGCAUUCCAAACAAGCCGAAGGCACUUCUUCGGCUGAUGUUUUAAAGAAAAAGACCGAAGAUAUUCCUUCGGCCACAAUUCCAGAAAGAAGAGCCGAAGAAAUACCUUCGGCUGAUAUUCCAGAAGAAAGGACCGAAGUACCAUCUUCGGCUGCUGACCCAGAACAAAGCUCUGUUCCUAACGAGCCAAUUGAGAUUGAGGUGACUCAAUUUGAUUAUCUAUACUCAAUCUUUUUAUUUUUUCAAUUAUUUAUCAUUUCUUCUUAAUAAACAGUCCUCUCCUGAAAGAGUCCAUUUUGCUUCUUCUUUGAAGACGCAGAUGGGUAGACAACUCCGACGAGAGGCUCGUCUUGAGAGAAAACAGGAGGCAGAGAGAAAAAGGGCUGCUCGAGAAAUGAGCAAGGAAUUGUCGACAAGUGUUGCGGCACCAUCUCUUUCUACUCCAAUACCAACAACAGAGGAGGAAAAUGUAAACGAACCUUCAGAGAAAGGCGUUGAGGGAGCAAGCACAGUGCCUUCCUCGCCUCUUGAAGCCUCGUCAUUUAUCCCUGAGGAUCCUCUAUCUGCUAUUCUUCACUCUUUAUUAGUUUCGAGCCCCAAUUUAAAUGAAGGAGAUUACUUGACUACUAUUGUAAUGUCGACAGACACUCAACAACAAUUUGAUGAGUGUCUACGAUUAUAUAGUAAAGGUCUCCCAUCUUUGGCUCAGAAUCCAGAUCACUUCGAUCGGCUAUGUGCCUUUUUGUUUGCUCUAGCUGAUCAAUCAGAUAUUUCUCUUGCUGCCAAGUGUUUGGUAGAGACAUUAUCGUCUCAACUUUCUUCUUUUUUUAUCUCGGCAACAAUCUUUAGAUGCCGAGCUUUUAUCUCUAGAUCAACAUUUUCAUCAAGUUGAUCAUUUUAAGAAAUCUAUACCUGAAAUAGUGGCUCCAAUAACUGACACGAGCCGAGAAGAUCAGCUUUUGGAAAAUCAGGAAUCAGCCCUACAACAACGGAUUUCCACUCUCAAAGAAGAAUUAGCCGCGACUGAAUUAACUUUGGCUCACACCUCCGCACGUCGGCUCCAACUGCAAGAUCAAUUGAAGACGAAGAAAAGCGAAGGAAUGAAACUUCAGGAAAAACUUUCCUAACUCUAUAAAGUGCAUCCCUUGAUGAAACGCAGAAAGAAAGCCGCUGAAAUUGCCCAAGCCAAUCUGAUAGUCGAAUGGAAUCAACUUAGGGAUUUAUUGUCUUGAUUCGGUUGAUUGUAAUACUUUUAAAUCUAACUUUGUUCGUUUUCCCAUAUGGAUGGGUAAUACUUUUUCAUAAAUUUUCUAUUGAUUGGUUUUUUAUUUUCUAACCCAUCUAUAUUUUUUAAAUAAUAUGCAUUUCCUUUUGCAACUCUGUUAAUUUGAAAUGGUCCUUCCCAAUUUGGGGACCAUUUUUCAUAUGUUCGGUCCUUUUGACCGAUCGGUGAUAUCAAUCUAAGAACUAAGUCUCCAACUGCAAAAGACUUAGCUUUAACUUUUUUAUUAUACGCAUUGCGUACUCGGCUUUGAUAAGCUUGUAAAUGGUUCAAUGCCGUCAGCCGAGUUUCAUGUAUUUCUUCCAUUUCUUCAUUCAUCAAUUUACUAUAUUCAUCAGCCGACAGUUCUUUUUGCUUCUCCACUCUUAACGAAGGAACUGUUAUUUCGACUGGUUGGAACACAUCAUCCCUGUUGCCGUUUUCACUGAAGUUCGGCAUGCCUAUAAUAUUUCGGACAAUUUUUCAUUCCAUUUCCUUGGAUAUUUUUCCUAUAUGCCGUUUCAUAAGGUUUAUGAUUACCUUAUUUGCUACCUCGGCUUAUCCAUUGGCUUGAGCAUAAUAAGGUGACGAGUGAAGUAAUUUAAUCUUUCGAAAUUCAAUGAACUGAACAAACUAUCCUCCUAUGAACAUUGUUCCUUGAUCGGUUGUAAUCGUCUCGAGAACUCCAAAACGAUGAAUUAUAGUCUUCAACAAAAUCAAUGAUUUCUUUUUGAGUGACCAGCCGAGCGUGUUUUACUUCUACCCACUUAGUAAAAUAGUCAACAGCCACUAUUAAAAAGUUAUGAUCAGCCGAAGAGUUCGGCUGAAUUUCUCCAAUCAAAUCUAUAGCCUAACCUCGAAAAGGCCAAGGUUUAAUUAUCGCAUACAUCUCAGAGGCAGGGAUUCUCUGUAUUGAACUAUGAAAUUGACAUUCUUGGCAACCUUUAGCAUAUUCUAUACAAUCUUGAUGCAUAGUCAGCCAAUAAUAUCCUAAAUGUCGAAUUGUCCAUCUUAGUCUUUUUCCUGUUAAAUGAGCUCGACACAGACCCUCAUGUAUUUCUCCCAUUACCAAUAGAGCUUCUUCAAGCUCUAGACAUUUCAGUAAUACUUCUUCGGCUGUUCUCUUGAAAAGUUGUCCAUUCAACAAACAAUAGCCGAGUACUCUUCUUUGAAUAUUAUAAUUGACCCUCUUAUUGGGGCUUCUAAAUAUUCGAUUAUGGAUUUUCUCCAAUCUUCUUUCACCUCUAUGAGGGCAAUAUUCGGCUCUCGAAUAUAAACCAAAGGUAAUAAUCUGCGUUCUAUUUUUACUAGACUUUUCUUCGGCUUUUUAUACCCUGAAGCCGAUUGGGCUAAUGCAUUAGCCUUUUCAUUUUCUUCUCUUGCUAAGUGCUCAAACUCAACCUUUCCGAAAUUACAAAGUAAUUUUAUCGUCUUUUUCAAAUAGUUUUGCUGGUUUUCACAUCGGUAUUCUCCGUUGACUUGUUUAAUCACUAACUGUGAAUCAUCGAUGACCUUAAGUGAAUGAACUCCUAAUUCUUGUAAGAUUUCAAGGCCAAUUAUUAAGGCCUCGUAUUCGACUUGAUUAUUGGAACGGCCGAAAUCUAUUCAAAAGCAAACUGAUAGGUAUAUCCCUUAGGAGACUGUAUAACUACUCUAGCUCCCGCGGAUUCGGCUGUUCUUAAGCCGUCAAAGUAAAGUAUCCAAGGUUGACAGCCGACUAAAUUUUGCUUCGGCUCUUCAAUUUCAACACAUGGAUAAUCAGCCAGAAAAUCGGCUAUUGCUUGUCCUUUAACAGCUUUUGCUGGAACGUAGUUAAGAGAAAAUUCGGACAAAACCAAUAUCCACUUUCCGAUUCGACCUCUUAAUACUAGCUUAGAUAACAAAUAUUUUACCAAGUCGGUUUUGCAUACUACCGACACUUCAGUUGGUAAAAUAUAAUAUCUUAAUUUUGUACAAGCAUAAUAUAAGGCUAAACACAAUUUUUCAAUUGCCGAAUAUCGUUUUUCGGCAUCUAACAAUCGCCUGCUUAAGUAGUAAAUGGCAUAUUCUUCUUUUUCUUUAUUUUCUUAGGCCAAUAAAUAUCCUAGAUUUUUCUCUGCAGCCGAAAUAUAUAAUUUCAUCGGCUAUCCUUGCUUAGGAGGCAUAAGGACCGGAGGAUUUGCUAAAUAUUUCUUUAUAUUUUCAAAUGCUCCUUUUUGUUUCUCUGUCUAAAUUAAUUCUUCUUUACUUUUAAGCUGAAGUAAUGGAGUAAAGACUCCUAUUCUACCGGCCAAAUUUAAUAUGAAUCGCCGCAAAUAAUUUAUUUUGCCGAGCAAACUUUGUAAUUCUUUUUUACUUCUUGGUGGUGGCAAUUCUAUUAUAGCUUUUACCUUGUUUUUAUUUAUUUCGAUCCCUUUUUUAUGUACCAGGAAUCUCAGAAAAUUUUCUGCAGAAACGCAAAAUACACAUUUUACAUGAUUCAUUUUCAAAUUAUAUUUUCUUAUUCUUUCAAAGGCGAGUUUUAAAUUUGCCCAAUGAUCGACUUGUGAUUUGGAUUUUACCACUAUAUCAUCAAUAUAAACUUCCAACAUCUUACUGAUCAAAUCAUGAAAGAUAAAAUUCAUCGCUCUUUGAUAAGUAGCCCCGACAUUUUUUAAACCGAACAGCAUGACCACCCAUUCAAAAGUCCCAAUAGACCCUGGGCACUUAAAAGCCGUUUUAGCUACAUCUUCUUCAGCAAUGAAAAUUUUAUUAUAACCGGCAUGUCCAUCUAUAAAAGACAGAAUUUUAUUACCGGCAGCCGAAUCCACUAAUAUAUCGGCUAUUGGCAUUGGGUACUCAUCUUUUGGUGUAGCCAAGUUUAAGUUCCUAAAAUCAAUGCAAACCCUAAGUUUACAAUUCUUUUUUCGCACUGGAACUAUAUUAGAUACCCAAUCAACAUAAUGGGCCGCUCUAAUAAAAUCGGCCUUCAAAAGAUUUUUAAUUUCAUUCUUGAUUUGGAGUACAAUACUCGGCUCAAAUCUACGAACCGGUUGUUUAUAAGGCUUAUACCCUUUUUUAAUAGGUAGCCUAUGUUCUACAAUUUCUCGGCUCAAUCCUGGCAUUUCUUCAUAACUCCAGGCGAAGCAAUCUUUAUAUUCCAUGAGUAAUUCCUUUAGCUUCUCUUGUUGUUGAGCCGAAAGCUUUGCACUAAUAUAAAUCGGUCGUUUGUCCUCGUCGGAUCCUAAGUUCACCUCUAUUAGUGGAUCCUGAGUUUCCAGCUUUUUGUCACCGACUUUGAUAGGUGAUUCUUCCAAAUUCAACUCAUCUGUUCGCCUCUUCGUUUCAUUUGAUAUUUCCUUAUCGGCUUUAACAGCCGAUUUCACCACAUCAUCACCGCUAUUUCGGCCGUCUUGUUACAUAUCACGUCAUCGGCCUGAUGGGCCGAAUCACCCACAUAGCCGAUCUUAUCGAUCGGCUCUUCUUGCUGAAGCUCUUCUAAAGCCUCGGCUCCUGAUUCCUUACAUUCCAUUUUAACCAGUUUGGUGGCUCUUCAGUUGCCACCAUAGCUCUUUCGUCUUUUGAGAGAAUUAAUUGUAUUCCCUCUUCAGUAACUCUUACAAAGGAAAUUUGGUCCGGAUCAGUAUCGGCCCAAUUGAUAUGGCCGAUUUCUUCUGCAUUGAUGUCCACCAUUUAGGGCCACCCUUCGGCCCUGAUUUCUUCUACUCUUUCUCCAAUCCACUAGAAUAAUUUUCUGUGAAGUGUGGAAGGUACGCACUCGUUUGCGUAGAUCCAGUCACGUCCGAGUAGCAAAUUAUAAUGGUUAUCUGCAUCCAACACAAAAAAAGCUGUUUUUAAAGUUUUAGAUCCUACCGUAAUCUCGAUGGUGAGCACCCCUCGAGCUUGUUGACCGCUUUCGGUAAAGUCGGUCAUGAUGGUGUCAGUAGGCUUCAACUCGUCCUCGCCCUUGCCCAAUUUUCUGAAGAAUGAAGUGGGCAUGACGUUGACCAUGAAUCACCGUCAACCAUUACUCGGCCUACUGGCCGUCCUUCUAUCAAGGCCUAUAUAAACAGAGGCCUCACAAAUCUCGUUUGCAUGGCCGAUGGUUUCUCAAAAACCAUUGCAUCGGUCAGUUUGGCAUCCUCCAAUUGCAAUUGAGCUACAGCGAGCCCAACUUCUUCAUCUACCAUUUCCUCGUACUCAAUAUACUCUGCUUUGAAAGAUUGUGAUAAAGUAUAUACCAUAUUGACAUCGGCUGAUCCUUCAUCAGCCGAUUUUUCUUAUAUUCUUUAUUUCUUUUCAUCAGACUCCAUUGUUGUCUCGGCCGAGGAAUCACUUUCCAUCUAUGCCUCCCUCUCCUUAGGAGGCAAUCUCUCUCGCUUGAUGAUUGUCUCGAGGGAAGCUAUUUUCUCUUCUAGUUCAUUCCGAGUUACUUUCUCCUCUGGUUCGGCCAUGACCGGCCAUUCUAUUUUCGAUUUUACCCAAGGAACGGGCGAUGAACCACCCGCCUCAUGAUUAUUCUUCAUUGGACGAAAAGGGUGUGGUAGUUCAUUAGGUCGUCUCCACACGUUCAGUUUCAUCCCUUUCGCCUCCUCAUAGUGUUGUCUCGCCUCGGCUUACAUCCUCUGCUGCCAACGCUUUUAUAUUUUUGUUAGUAUACCGAUGGUUUAACUUCAUGCUAUUGAUCAACCGGCACAUUUGCCGGUACUUUCACCAUUUUCAAAUGAUUCUUUAAAAUCUCCCUUCUUUCUCAGGGUCUCGGCCAUUGUUGUAUGCUGAGCUCGUUAACCAAUUUUCGACCGAGAAAUUCUAUGUCUCCCUCGGUCACUUCUUCAAACUCCAGUUCUGGUCUCAGCCUAGCUUGUUGCUGCCAGUGUGGCCAAUACCCAGGGAAUCUCUGUUUUGAGUCGACUGGUUUCUCUGGAUAACUUCAUCGGCUAUGAUGUUCUUCUCUUCUGCUAUUGUAAUAAUCACGCAGGACUUUUUGCGUCAAUAAGUCCUUGUUUUGAACCGAAUGGACUUCCGGUUCAAAUUCGUUGGAGGCUUCAUCUGAGCCAUCCUCUGAUUUGUCAUUUCCUUCGGGAAUCUCUUCCCACUCUUCAGGGAACGCCAUCAGUUCUCUCCAUUCAUUGCUCUUCUUCUUUUCGUUGAUAAUGGCUUCCCAAUCUUUCUUUGUCAUUUCGGCUUUGCACCUUAUACAGAGUCAAAGGGUUCUUUUGACAUGGGCUAUGUUCUCAGUGGUCUUCUUGUCUACUAUUGCCUUCCCUUUGACGUCCACCAUAUUAACCUGCAAAGGAAAUGAAUUUCUGUCAAUUUUCAUAUUUUUAUUUUCUUGAUCGGCAAAUAUGAGCCGACCCUCGUUUAUUUCUUUUUGAAUCUGCCUUUUAAAGGCAGUACAUUCAUUCGUUUUAUGGCUCCACGAAUGGUGCCAUUUGCAAUAUUUUCUUCUUUUUAAUUCUUCCCCAGAGGGUAUGGUUUGACCCUCCUGUAACUGAAUUCGUUCAUCUUUUAGCAACCGAUCGAAAAUUAAAUCGGUCUUUGAUACAUCAAAUGAAUAUGUAUAUGCUGAAACUUGUGCUUUUGCCUCGCUUGAUUUAGCGGGCUUCAACAAAGCACACUUAUAUAGUUGGCGGUCUUUUACCAUCUCAGCAGCCUAUAUCUCGGCUUCAUCAGCCAAAUCAUCAACCUCUUCAGAUGACUUCGGCUCUUCAUAAGCCGAAGAUUCUUCAAGGAACGAAAUAUUUUUCUGUCACGCCCGGAUACCAGCGGAAGCAUAUCCGGCACGUGCACAGAUCCGCCAUACACCUGCAGUAUAUAAGGCGUCUACAAGAAGCAAGUCGAUNGAGAGAGAGAGAGAGAUGAAGAAGAAGGGUGCUCUGAGCCUCAGCAACCUCCACUGAGCUCCAGAAGUCGUGCUGGCUUCAUAUGGAUGAGAUCAAGAUGUGAAAAGACCAAACUACCCAAGCUGCCACGUUUCUGCAUUGUGUACCGGUACACCAUAAUGGCUGUACCGGUACACCAAGCAGAAAAGGCUGAUUUCGCCCAAUCAAUGCACUUUCUUACUUUUAGCAUUCCAAUCAUCCUCUAACUUAUCCAAAAACUUGUUCUAACCUUUUAGAACAUGUAGGAGUGAUCCACACACCAUUCCACAUACUCGAACUCCGCAAUUUGCGAAAGUCCAGUGUAUUACAUUUUCUCCUUCCCUUUGUUCCAAUCAUUAUUUCGGCUCCAUUGGACCGAUCUUCAUUAUUUUCCUUUCGGAAUUGCUCGUAUUGAGCAACCCGAACUCCCAAAUCGAAAAAAUUUGGAAAAUACUUGUCUUCAAAAUGAUCUUUAAUUUUGAAGUGUAAGCCGUUAAGUGUCAUUUUAGCAAAUUCCGACUCCGGUAUUUUGACAAAACAACGGCUCCUGGCCGUUUUCAAUCGGUUCAAAUACUCUUCAACCGAUUUGCCUGUCCUCUGUUUAAACUGAGCCAGAUCAACCACCGACAAUUCCGGUUCUGAUCUAUAAAAUUGUUCAUGAAAAUUUUCUUCUAAUUCGUCCCAGUCUCGGACGGAAUUAGCCAGUAAACUUGUAUACCAAGUAAAAGCCGUCUUGGUUAACGAGGUGUUAAAUAACCUCAAUUUUAAAAAUAGAUCUGCCGCGGCUUCUCGACAUUGUGCCAUGAACCGUGCAACAUAUUCGACCGUGUUUUCGGUCUCAUCACCGAAAAAUUUGUCAAAUUUCAGUAUUUUCAAUUUGCCGAGUAUGGAUGCUCUGCGUCUAUAUUCGCAGGAUAAGGUGAUCUAAAUACAGGCCGCAUUGCCGGCAUUGCACCUACUCUGAAAGUAUUUCGGAUGACUUCUUCGAUCUGUGCAUAGAUUUCAUUAUUGUUCCCCUGUAAAGUAACUUGUGCUUGCGCUUGUGCUAUAUUUGGUCCUUGUGGUAGACCAAAAUUUUGUACCACAGGGUUGAUCCCUUGUACAUUCAGAGCCUGCCCCCCAGCCCUAGCCCCUAUAUUUUGGGACUGAUAUGCUGCUAUUGGUGGAGGAGGUGGCAAUCCCCAUGCUAUUUUCGGUUGUUGACCAGUGUGAACAACACCCGGCCUGUAAGCUCCCUGGAAUGGUGCCCCCUGGUAUUGGGGUUGACUAUUUACCGGUGUUACAGGAUUUUGUAACACUGGUGUCAUUACAGGCCCUUGUAAGCCUGUUAUCGGUUGCUCAUUACGAAUCAAUAGUUGCCUUAUUCGAGCAAUAUUCUCGUUAGAGGCCGUGAUUGCUGCAAAUACUGCAUUUAGCCAUGCAGUGCUAGUAUGGCUAUUUUGGUCCAAACUUGUAGGACCCGUGUCAUUUGUCCGAGUGCCUGAGCCAGAUUAGGCUCUUACUGGUCAGAUUGACCACUAGUCUCACCCUCGGCAGGUAAGACUGCUUGGCGUUCCCAAGCAUUAUCUGAAUUAUUGGGUUGAUGGCUCCCAGAACUUCUAGGAACGAUCCUAUUACGCAGAUUCAUGGCGUUCUCAUAAGCCAUUAUAAAAUAUAUAAAAAUAAAUGUACCUUAAUUAGCGUCCCACCGGGCGUCCCAAAAUUGUUAUGGGCCGAACUUCCUUAUCCUUGACCCGGUCAAAGAUCAUCCUCGGGAAUGAUGCAAGGAAGCAAAAUGGCUUCGAAUAGUGACCCUCGAAGUUUGCGCCCAUUGACUAGAUCAAGCGAUUCGGCUGAUGAGGGAUCGGGUCAGCCGAGUUCGAAAAUCCUAAGGUGAAUUCGGUUCGGCAGGAUGAGCCGAAUAUACGAACUGCACAAAAACUAAGGUCGGCCGAAGAGCUGAAUGGAAGAACAACACAGUGAUUAGUAGGCUUGAAGAGCCGAAGCCUUGCUUGAAGAGCCGAAGCCUUUAGGUAUAUUGAAAUUGACUGGCGGGAAGAAUACAGGAAUGGAGUGUGCCUAAUGGCAUACAGACUCGGUUGAUCUAACUAGAAACUACUUCUAGGAAAACAGUAAGUGCGAGAAAGUAAAAGAUUACAAGUAGACUACUCCUAAUGAAUGCGAGGAAAGUGAAAAGAAAAUAAGGGUGGUCAUUUGUUCACGAGGAAAAGACCCCUUUUUAGGACGUUAUUGACCUAUUUAUAGAUCGCCCCUGUUGAUCAGUUAUUAUCUGUCCAUGAUCGGCCACUAUUCCCUAAUUUUUCGGGCCACUUCCAGCCGAUCGGAACAGCUUGUAACUGCUCGUGGUUGCUGUAACUUCCCUUAAUUUACACGGUGGUUUUACUUAAAAAUCUUUCCGAUGCUCCUGGUGCACAGCAAGAUUACUACCUUUAAAUAAAGUGUCGGCGUACUACGUGUCCGCGCCUAAUUUGGCUCAACAACUCUCCUCCAACCAAAUGACUAUUUGAAUGAUUUGCUCACGUCUUAUUAUACAUGAUUUGGUACAAAGUCAAAGCAUAAGAAAACUAUGUUUUGGCGUUUUAGUUAUGAUAAUUAAGCAUCACAAUUGAAGAAUAUGAUGAGCAUAUCUUUUAAGUUUUAUUUUAUUUUCAUAUGUUAAAACUAGAAUAGAAGAAAUUUUUUUUUUUUGUGCUUUUAAGGUUGCAAAAGAUAGUAUGCAACAUAAGCUAUCAAAACGAUUAUGGAAUUAAUUAGUAAAUUUAAUUGAGGUCAGAAGCCUAUUAAAUUGUUUGAUAAAAAUAAAAAAAAAAAAUUAAAUACCAAUAUUAGAAGUUCGUGUAGCUGUUUGCCCAAAAACUAAAUUUAUAAGAUCUUUAUAUAUUUUUAUAAUAAAAUAUUAAAUUUCAAAUAAAAUAUUAUUUUUUUGGAUUUGUUCAGAGUGUAAAAAGUUCUCCACAGUUGGAUCAUAUCAUAGUUGCAAUCAUUGUAUAGCUAGUAAUGUAUCAUGAGUAAAUUUAAAGACUACUAUGCCUUUUGUUUUUAUUUCUUGCCAAAAUAACACUGACAUCUAUGACAAUACAUAAAUCUGUUGUAAGUCGACCUAUUUUUAUUUCAUGAUAUUUUUGUUUAAGGGAAAAAAUACAAAAAAAAAAAAAAAGGAAAACCUACUACCGCGAAAUAGUGCAGCGGCAAUAACCGAGAAGACUAGUGGUAUUUAACGUCGAUAUCAACGUCGAACUUAAAAUGAGCGAUUUCGCGUACUAUUUGAGCUUAUUCAAAUAAGCUCAAAAAUUUGAAUAUAUAAUAUAUAUAUAUAUAUAAAUAUAGUAUAGAAGUGAGGGCUACCUAUGCCUAUCGAAGCACGGAGCCUUCCGUGCUUCCAGCCGUUUUCGAUGUUUGCGGCUUUCGAAUCGUCGAUUGGCUUCCGUAAACUUGAUCUAGAGUAUUGCAAGUACUCGAAAAUAAAUUUAUGAUUUAGAUAUCAUUUGCCUAGUGACUAAUGGGCAAAAUCAAUCAAAUUUCAAUGGCCGUGUGAGCCGUUUGCAAGUUUAACGAGCAGUAAAAUAUCCCAAAUCCAAAGUGAAAUUUUGAUAGACACCACUUCUUUAUACUAUAAAAACAAAAUUAAUAUCUUGAGAUUAAAAUUUCCAUCGUCAAUAUUUUACAUUUUUGUACAAGCAUUUUUAUUUUCAGCCCUUGAUUCUUCGAGCCCACUUCUUCACUAGGCAGACGCAUGAUAACUGUAAAACUCAUCAGAAAUUUAUUUUCUAGAAUACUAUCUCACAUAACUCUAGAUCAAGUCUUAACUGAGCCGACGACGAUCGAAGUCGCCAACAUCAAACGCCAUGGAAGCACGCGAGGCUCCCGGGCUUCCCCGAUCAGCAUAGUAGCCUCAGCUCUAUAUAUACUAUCAUAUAUAUAUAUACUCUACUAUAUAUAUAUAUACUAGUAAUAUGGGUUGAGUAUGUUCAUGAACACACGGACCCCCCGUGCUUUCCAAGUUGUUUUGAUGUUACCGGUCUACUCUCGAUCUAACCCGAUCCGGUCGUUCAAAGUUGAUCCUAGACUAUUUGAAGUAUCCUCCAGAAAAUAAAUCUUGUGAUUUUUAUUAGAUAUCAUUCUAUUGCCUAGUAUCCGACCCCCAGGCGCUUUCCAAAUCAAUAAUUUUAAUGGCCGUAGGUAAGCCGGUUGCAGUUUAACUGUGUAGAAAUAAUCCAACAUCACAUAAAAUUUUGAUAGAAAAUUCUUUAUACCCCAAUAAAAUAAGACAUCAAUAACUUUGAUCUAAAAUUUACAUGUCUAUAUCGUCAUAUUUUAUUUAAGAUUUUAUUUUCAACCGUUAAUUUGAGCCACUUCGAUCACUAGCAAAUGAUAUUGAAAAAUCGCAAAUUUUAUUUUUCUAGGUACUUCAAAUACUCUAGAUCAAGUCCUAACGGAGCCGAUCGUCGAUUCGAAAGUCCGAACAUCUGAAACAAAGUGGAGCAGGAACCUCCGUUACUUCCAAUAAGCAUCCUAACCGCCCUCAGCUCUCUCUCUCAUCUCCCACAUCGAGUCUCUCCUUCCAUCUCCAUCCGUCUCUCGAUCUCCUUCUCUCUCUCUCUCUCUAUAUAUAUAUAUAUAUAUAUAUACUAGUAAAUUGCACGUGUAAUGCACAUCAUAUAUUUAAAAAAAUAAAAAAAUAUUUUUUUUCAAAAUAAUUAAAAUUGAACAUGAUUGAUAUGUAAUAUAUAAUUUUUAAAUAAAUUAUUAGUGAAUAUUUAUUUGCAUAAGAUACUAAAAAUAUUAUUGUCCAAUUGAAUAGAUAAAUUAAAUUUUACAUCUCUACAUCUGGCAACAAAAAAAUUUCUUUUAUACUAUUUGAGCCACUUUUUUAGGCCAAAAAUGAUAUUUAUACCCAAAAUCACUUUAAUUGUAUAAAUCAUACCAAAAAUGAUUUAAGUCAUACAAACCUUUUAUACAAAAAAUGAUUUAGGUCAUGAAAUUCGUUCUGUUUCAUUUUGCAUUCAAAAGCUUUUAUACUUGAAACCCCUUUAAUGAAUACAAAUCAUAUCGUUUAUUAUGAUAAAAAAAAAAUCUAGAGGUCCUUAAUUUUUGAGCCAUUUAUGAAUCAGGCUCCUAAUUUUUUUUUGCUAAUAAAUUACAGAUGAAUUAUUUAACAAUUUACAUACUAAAAUGAUCCAAACAAAAUUUAGAAUCAAAUAAUAUCCAAAAUAUUAUUGAUUAUAAAAUCUCCUUGGAAUAUCCAUUUUCUACAUAUUAUUUAGUUUCCAUGCAAACCUUUCACAUUAGAGAUCUAUUUAGUUGAUAAAAAAUUAUAUAAUUUAUUUAAAUAAAAAUGUACGAACUCUUCCUCAUCUUUUGGCAAUUUAUCUCCUAAUUUUUUUUAUUAACUUACACAUAACUACUAAUUUAACCAAAUAAACUAAAAAUUUAACCAAAAAUUUUAAAUCCUAAAUAGUAAAUACUAAAUUUUAAAAAUAGCUUAAUUAACUGCUCUAUAUCAAAGAAAACUGAAUUAAUUAAUUAAUAAAAAAUAAAUAUCGGAAAGAUAUUAAUUAAAAAUAAAUAUAUAAUUGUUGAGGACUCUAUUUCAAAGUCACCUAUAGUGAAGGGAGCUUUAUUUUAAAGUCAUCUAUAAUUAUAGGGGUUUCUCGAUUUUGAAUCAUAUAGUUCAAUUUUUUAUGAAAUAUGUGAUACAUAAUAGUUGAGUGAUCUGCUCGAAAAUCAUUUAUAGUGGAAGAGGAUUUUUUUUAUCAUGAAUUAUAUGGUAGAAUCUUUUAUGACAGAUAAGUUGUUGUAUAUUUUUUAGAUAAAAAUGUAUGAUGACCCCUCAUCCUUAGAUCAUUUACCAAUUCGUCUCCUAAACCUUUUUUUUUCAUUGAGACGAAAAAUACUAAAUUAAUUAAUCAGUAAAAUAAUAAAAGUAAAUAAGAUAUCGAUUUAAAAAAAUAAAUAAAAAGUUGAGGGGUGUAUUUCUAAAUUACCUACACUUGAGAGGUCUCUCCUCUUUCUGAUGGGGCGAGGGACUUAAAGGAAGAGACAGAGUUGGGGUGGGACCGAGUGAGAGGCAGUAAGGGCCCCUCAAGGCGAGCGCAAAGGCAGGCCGUCUCGACCUGGAAGUCGGCCUUCCGUGCGUGAGAGAGAAAACGUGAGAAGGAUUAUUUAUUUUUGAAAACGUGCACGAUAUGGAAAAACGAGCGAGACGAAUGAAUUUCAAAAAAAUUAAAAUAAUUAAAAAAUAGAGAUUUUUUUUAUAGAAAUAAUGACAAAUACUUUAUAUUUAAAUCGUUAGAUUAGAUUUGAUGGUGUUGAUUAACUGUAAUUUUAUAAUUUUAUAGAAAAAACUUAAAUUUUACAGCUGUAAGUAAUUUAUUUCAAAAAAGAUGGAUUAGAUUAAUUGAAAUUGAGUGGAAUUAACCUAUAUGUGAAUGACACUUUUGGCAAAAAAAAAAAAAUCACUCUUUUAUAAAUUUUAUAGAUAAUAGAGUGUAAAUCUUUUCGAAUUCGUAUGAUUAUUGUUUUGUUUGAAUUUUAAAAUGCAAAUCUUUUCAAAUCUAUAGAAUUCUUUUAUUGUUUCAAUUUUUAAUUUUAUUUUACAAAUCGAGUAUAUAUUAUUUUCUCAAUAUGUGUAUUUUAAAUCUUAGAUAAAUUUUUUUUGAAUCUAUGUAUUUUUUAAAAAUCUUUAUCUUCGUGUAUAGUAAUAUAUUUUGAUCAUAUUAAUUUUUUAUGAGCUAUUUAAAAUUUAAAAGUUGUUAAUAUUUAUCUUUUUAAAUUUUAGAAAAAUAUUUUAUUAUUUUUCAAUAAAUAAAUUGUGUAAUGCCUAUAUAUGUUUAAUCAUACGUGAUGUAUGGCACAUUGAGCGAUUCUAUUUAUUAUAAUUUUGAAUUAUUAUAUUAUUUUGAGAUUUUUCCUAAUAUCAUCUUAAAGAAUUUUUUUAUUUGUAAAAGAAAUUUUAAUAUUGUUUGGUUUUUAAGUUUUCGUGGGUCUUAAUCUACGUCUAUUAAAAGAUUGAAACAAUUAGAUUUUUUUAAAAAAUUAAAAAUUAUACGUUUAGUUUUUCAAAAAUUUUAAACAGUAUAUAUUACAUUUUUAAUAUUUUAUGCAACGUAUAUUUCAUAUGUACUUAGCUAGUAAAUCUAAGUUAGAAACUAAAAUGAAAAAUUAGUUAUAAAUUGAAAAUAUCGAGUAGCACCAAAAUACCUUUCCAAUUGUCGAAAAAAUAAUUAUUCCGGUGAUCAGGAUGACGAUGAAGUGCUGACAAAAGUGACAAUGAUCAUGUGCUAGCGAAGGCGACAACGAUUAGCGAAGGUGAUGACGAUGACGUCUCGCCGCCGGUAAGGACAACAACGAUGUGUCGGAAGGACGAUGACUUGCGCAAUUAAUAUGAAAGAUAAAAAGGUCAUAAAAAUGCAAACUUAUUAGUAUUUAAAAACCUUAAAACGUAAAACAAAGUGUACGAAAGACGAAUUAGGUAGAAAAUUAUAUUAUGACACGUUAAAAUGAAUUAGGUAGAGCCAAAAUACCUUUCCAAAUGUAGCGAUGGCGACCGGGGAUGACGAUGAGAAACGAAUAAAAUAUUACUAAAAUAAUAUAUUUGAGAAAACGUAUAGUGGGAAUGAAAAACGAUAUGCUUUGUAUUUAUAAAACGUAUAGAUGAAGAUGAGAAAAUAUUAAAAAAAAUAUAUUUUAUGUAUGGAUAAGUAUUAUGAUGAGAUAAAAUUGGGUAAGGGAGGAAAAGUUUAUAUGUGAGAGUACUAAGAUAUUAUCUAUAUUAUGCAUAGAUGGCGGGCGGGUAUUACAUCACAGAAAUAUUAAAUAUUUUGCAAUAUUUUUCGAUUUCUAACAAAUUGAAACUUUAAAUAUAUAUAUUUUAAAGUAAAAAAUUAAAAUGUUAAUUAUAUUUUUAAUUUUAAAAGUUAAAAUUUAAUUUCGAUCCACUUUAAGAUUUAAAUUUAAAAAAUUUAAUUUUUUUUUAAAAAAAUUAGUAAAAAAAAAAUAGAAACAUUUUUCAGAAAGAAUUUAAUAUUUAAUUCAAAAUUCAAAAUUUAAUUUUGAUCCACUUUAAGAUUUAAAUUCAAAUGUGAGAGUAGUCGAGAUAUUAUAUGUUUCUGACGAAUUCAAAAUUUAAUGGAUUAUUUGUGAUGAAUGAUUCAAAAUUUCUGGACAUGAAGAAAUUAGUUAAAGACAUUUCCACAAUAAAAUUUAUGUUUAAUUUAAAAUUUAAAAUUUAAUUUUGAUCCAUUUUAAUAUUUAAAUUCAAGUGCGAGGAUAUAUUUAAUUCAAAAUUAUGAUAGGUUGAGAAAAUUUUUGAGAAACGGUGAGAACAUAUUAGAAUUUUGAUGAGAUAUUUGAGAAAUGCGUGGAUAUUACCUGUGAGAAAGGUUAACUGGAUAUUAUAUAGGUGAUGGAUGUAUAUGAUAGGUGGAUUAAUGAGUAACUUGAGAAAUUCACGGAUAUUAUGUUGAGAAAUGAUUGGCGGAUAUAGGUAUUACGCAUGAGAAAGAAAAAUAUUUAGAAAACGCGUAGAUAGAAGAUAUGAUAUAAAUACGAGGGUAUUAUUGUCACAAAAAAUGGCAGAUACUUUUAUUUUCAAUCGUUAGAUAAAAUUUAAUGGCAGAAAAUUAAUAUCUGUAUUUAAGAAUAAAUUAUUACUUAAUGAAUUAUUUGAAAUAAUUGGUUGAAAAUUACUGGACAUGAAAAUAUUAGUAAAAAUGAUAGAGGCAUUUUUGGAAAGAGAAAAAAAUUUAAAACUCACACUUUUAUAAGUAGUAUAGAUAUAUUAUAUAUAAAUGAUUGGUUGAAAAUUACUGGACAUGAAAAUAUUAGUAAAAAUGAUAGAGGCAUUUUUGGAAAGAGAAAAAAAUUUAAAACUCACACUUUUAUAAAUAGUAUAGAUAUAUAUAUGAUGUGGGCUCCAUAAGAUUGAGUGGGUGGUUGAUUAAAUAGUAUAAUCUAAUGGGUAAAAAUAAUUAAAGGAUUAAAUCUAACGGUGGAAAACUCGAUAGCACCAAACCCUUGGUGCUAUCGAUAGUAUCCUAGCCGAACUAUAUAUAUAUAAUUGAGCUAUUAUGUUUUUAAAAAUACAAGUUAUUAGUGCAUGCAGUUUUUUAGCCUUUGCAUAGGAAUGUGCAGUUAGGGUGAUACUAGUCCCCUAGGGGUGAGUAGGUAGUAGGUUGAAUAGUAUAAUCAAAUAGGCGAGAACGACCAAAAAGGUAGAUCUAAUCGGGUGAGUGAGUGGUAAGUUAAAUAGUAUAAUCAAAUAGGUGAAAAUGACCAAAAAAAUAGAUCUAAUGGAGAGAAACUUAUAAGCACCAAGUGUAUUAUGUUUUUAAAAGCACCGUAGCCAGGCUCUUUAUAUAUAUUUAUUAAAAAUAUUUAUAAAUAUAUAUAAUUAGAGAUAAUAAUAUAUAUUAUAUAUUUUAAUUAUAUGUAUAUAGAGUUUAAGUUACUGGACCAUAUUUGGAUAGCUAACUUUUCAAUGUCGAAAAAUUCUAGUUUGAUAUUAUUUAUUUAUAUUAUAGUAAAAAUAAAUGUUAUUUGUCGUAUGCUUGAGAAAAUAUAUAAAUAAUACUUUUAAGAUAAAAAAACUAUUAUAUUUAUAUAAAAUUUUGAUUUUAGUUACAUAUGAUUGAAUUGUUCAGCCUAAUAUAUAUUUGCCUAUAUAAUUUAUUUACUUUUUGACUGCAUAAAUAAAAAAUAAAUAAUAUGGAGACCGAAGGCGAGAUUAGAAUAAAAAUAUAAAUAGAAAUGAACAUUCAUUGCAUAAUUAGAUAUAUCAGCUUAUAAAUUAUUUUUUGAAAUAUUAUAAUACCAUAAUUCAUGCAUUUAUUUCAUAUAUUGAAUUAUUAGACAUAUUUUUGUAUCAACUUCUAGAUAAUGUUAUAUUAAAAUUCAACUACAUAUAUAGAUUGUAUGAUGUUAAGAAUUUCAAGCGAUUUGUUUAGGGAUCGAGCUUGUUUGACUUGAAGUUAGGCUCGCUCAAGUUCGGCUCAAAUUAAUUUCAAGCCAAACUUGAAUCUAAAUUAGCCUCUGAUUAAAUUUAAAACAAAGUUAAGUUGAGAUGAGCUUAAAAAUAAAUCAUAAGGUCGUAUCUGUAAUUACAAAAUGAUUAGGAGAGAAAGGUAGCAUGUUACUCGAUUCGGUUUUUUUUUCUUUAAAAAAAAAAAACUUGACGGAGUAAUUAGGUUUCGAAUUUGAGACCUGCAAUAGCAUGAUCAACACCUAGGAAUAAAAAUUAAUAAAGAUCUUAUUAAAAUUACCAAGUCCAGAAAAAAUACCCAAACCAAAAUUGUGAAUCGUCUUGCAUACCCAAAAUAUGGAAAGCUAAAAUAGAAACUGUAGAAACAAAAUCAUUAAUUUUAGUAAACAAUUAAAAAAAUUCCAAGAUAUAUAAUAAAUCAUUCAAUUAAUUGAGAUUUAAUUAAAUUUAAUUAAACCUCAACCUUUUUGGUUCUCCAUCACGUACAGAAAGUUCCCAAUUUAAUUUUUAUCAAGAUUUUCUAGUACGAAUUGAAUGAAGCUUUCCCUUAAUUUGUAGUUGCUAUUAAAUGUAGCUUGUUUAGUUAAAGAUAAUAAUACAAUUAGAAUUAAUUAGCAUUAAUUAUUGGAUAGAAGUAGUCGUUUAACUGCAUGACCGCACGAUUGAAAAGAAUAAAAGGUUGGAUACNUUCUCAAGGUCCAAAUCCGUUCUUCUAUUUUUUUUUUUUUAAUUUCAGCUACGGGGACGGCCCCCUAAUGUUAUUGAUAAUCUGCUUUUCCGUGAAAGAAGGAUUCAAUUGAAUUCAUUGAGAAAUGAAAUUCUUGUUUGGAUUAAAUCGGAGUUCAAUUGAGUUUUAUUCAUUUUGUUGUUUGGUAGAAAAAUGGAAAGCCAUUUCAUUAUGAUUACUUUUUGCACUGGAUCCUUAUUCCUUACAUAUAGUUUAAAAAAAAGAAGAUACUAUAACUAAUUUGAGAAGGGGUAUUUGAGGUUAUUGCGGUUAUUGAUAUAGUAUAAUUAAGGGCAUGUUUGGUUCACCUAUUUUAGACUAUGGAAUUGGAAUGGAAUUCAUUGAUUCCGGUAGUUGCCGUUUGUUUUAUAGGAAUCGGAUUCCGAUUUCCAUUCCACUCCGGAAUGGGAAUGACCAAAUCUAUUUAUGAUCCAAUCCGGCUUUGAAUCCCGGAUUGGCUCAUUCCAAAGUAAACUAUUCAAAAUUCUCUUUUAUCAACACCUACCUCCUCUCCCAUCAUCACUUUCCUCUCUCUUAAUCAAAACUCUCUUUUAAAAAUUUUAAAUUUUCAUUCCGAUUUCCAUUCCAAUAAUGAACCAAACAUUUUUGGAUGAUUCUUCAUUCCAUUUUUCAUUCCAAAGCAAUCCAAUUCCAUUUCUCAUUCCUAUUCCAAUCAUGAACCAAACAUGCCCUAAGAGUAAAUGAGUGCUUAUCAAAAAGUCAUUUGUAUUAAUAAGAAAUCUCACCAAAUCCUUCCGAAUGGAUUGAAUUCUCAAUAACUUAUGGUACUAAACAACGGAUUUACGAAAACUAGUAGUCCAAUUCUUUAGAUUUAUAGGAAUUGGGGGGGCAUCGGGGUGGCCAAACAGAGUGGUAACGUGAUAUUACUUGCGAACAAAUGGCUGACAGUCUGACUAGUCUAACAUAUUUAGCCUGUGGCAAUCUUCUGUUAAUUAUAUUGCUAGUUGUGACUGAAUUCAUGAUUUCCUAGGUGUUGGCAGGUCUUCUAGAGCCAACUGAAGGAACAGUGCUUGUAAAUAGGCCAUGCAGCUUCGUCUUUCAGAAUCCUGAUCACCAGGUUUCUUAUUUUAAUGCCGCUUUUUCUAUAACAACUUAGUUACCAAUUGUCUGUGAAAAUCUAUCUAGCGGAAGAAGAUCAAGUUUUAUGCUCUCUGAAUAUCCGAAUUGCUUUUAGUUUGGCUUUCUCACAAAGCAUCUCUUUCUUUCACUAAUUUUGUCUAUCACUUUCAUGUGAUACUAGUGAAGUAACUUGCGCGAUACGACAGAUAGAUAAUUGAAAAAAAAAUUUAUAAAAAAAAGAUAAUAUAAGAAUAUAGAUAUCCCAUAAUUACUGAGAAUAGGUAGGGGUGUAAUGUGGGCCGUGCCGGGCCGGCACGGCCCACAUUUUCCGGGCCAAACCGGGCUGGAGAGUGGCCCGGCCCGGCCCGUGGCUAAAUCCGGGCCGGGCCGUGCCGGGCCGGAACUCCCUACCAUCCGGCCCAGCACGGCCCCUGGGCCCGGAAGGCACGGGCCGUGCCGGGCCGGGCCGUGCUCCGGGCCGGCCCCUUUAUUUAUUUUUAAAAAAAUGUACAUAUAAUUUAAAAAAAUAUAAACAAUAAAUUAUAUUUAUAUAAACUGAUAUUUUGAUUAAAAAAUUUAAAAUUUAUAAAAAUAAUUAUAAAAAGUUUGUGUUUAAAUUUAUUUAAUAUAUUUUUGUAUUCUUUUUUUGAAAAAAAAAAAAGUUGAGAAGGGUUUUUGGUCCAAUGGACCAUAAUUGCUUUGGUCCAUUGGACCAAAAUCACUCUAAAUCACUCCUCCCAAGGUCUUGGGAGGAGCUCUCCUCGGGUGGAGGGCUUGGCCCUCUACCCGAGGAGAGCAAACCCCAGGCCCAAGGCAAACUUGCCUUGGGCCUGGGUUCCGGGCCGUGCUGGCCCGGCUGGCACGGCCCAAGCGGGCCGUGCCGUGCCGGGCCACGGGCCUCCCCUCGGCCCGGCACGGCCCAGGCCCCUUUCGGGCCGUGCCGUGCCGGGCCGUCGGGCUCCAAAUGUGAGGCCCAGCACGGCCCUAAGUGCCUGCCGGGCCCGGCCCGGCCCGGUGCUACAGUGGUCGUGCCGGGCCACGGCCCGGCCAGCAGCCGUGCCGGGCCGGGCGGCCCACGUGCCGCCCGGCCCGUUUUACACCCCUAGCUCCAACACCCAUCAAUACGCUAAAACGUUUUCUAUUUAAUUUUGGAUAGUUAAUAUAUAUAAUAUAAUAAUAAUAAACAUGAUGCUUGAGAAAUAAAUAAACAAUAAAUAUGAGACAAGUUGAAGGCAUGUGUGGAUGCAUGGACCGGGUUCAGGUGUCAAUUUCCAGCAGAAAUUCGAGUAAUCUCUUUUUUAUGACUAGAAACAAUCACUCUAAUAAAUUCAACAAUACUGGAAAUAAAAAAAUAAAUAAAGCCAAAAGAUCCGGAAUAUAGGAACACAAUAUAAAUAAAUUCUUAGGUCUAAAUGACUGAUACCAGUUUACUGAUUUUAUAUUUUUAACUAAAUUUAUUUUUUUAAAAAUAAACAAAAUAGAUGUUGUUUUAUCAGCUUUCUCCCACAAAGAAAAUAUAUAAAUUCGUAGGAAAAAAAAAAAAGUAGAGUUAGUCGCCAGAUCAAGAAACUACUCUCCCAACUCCUCAUGCACAGUAGAAAUAAUAUUUUAAAAAUAUAGGUAAAAAAAAAAAAAAGGAGGGGGGAGACAAGAUAUAUAUGUACCUUUAUAUAUAUAUAUCCUGCUGAUGCAGAGCGAAUUAAAGCUCGAGAUGAUCAACAGCAGCAGAAUCCAAAAUAGAUCGAAUCAAAGCUCGAUCACCGCAUGCAUUGCUCGAUGCCACGGAUAUGAACCCUAAGAUGGCCUCAGAUCGCCAUUAUUGACCCAGUAUGAGGCUGAGUUGGAGAGAUAUAUACGAAAGAGGUACAGAGAGAGAGAGAGAGAGAGAGAGAGAGAGAGAGAGAGAAGCUUCUCGCGCUUUCUCCGUCACUGCGAGGCCCCUCUCCGACGCCCAUUUAUAGCCCAAAUGUUGGCCCUCGUUUUUCUUUUUAUGAAAAAUGCUACUAUAAACCCCCAAAAAAAAAGUAUAAGAUUUACAACCCCCACUCCUAAAAUUUAAAAAAUUCUUUAAAUUUUUAAUAUUUUUAAAUACGAAAAAAUUAUUUUUUCUCUUAUAAUUUUGAUAAUUAAGCGUGAUCGAUUCACGAAUAAUAGAUUGAAAUGAACUUUAGUUUUUUAUAUUUUUUAUUAGAAUACAAAAGAUAAUUCUUUUUUAAUAUUUUGAAGCUUUAUAAAACUAUAUGCAAUACAUACGGUCAAAAAAAAUUAGUAAUUUAUAAUUUUAAUUGAAGAGUGUGCUCUAUUAAAUUGUUUGAUAAAAUUUAAAAAUCUAAUUGUCAAAAUUAAAAAAUAAAAUCUCUAUUGUUAAACAACAGGACUAAUGUUCAAAGGCAAAGUAUAUAUACAUUUUCCCCCCUUUUUUUUUCUACUUCCCGUUUGGGGUUCAUGGCUCCGGAUUAAUGAUAAAAAAUAUAUAUAUAUAUAUAUAUAUAUAUUGCCUAAACUUUAUUCACCACAUCAUGUUUCGAUUGCAAAGUUUCACAUGCAUCUUUGCAAAAUUUUAAAGAAAAAAAAAAGCUUUAUAUGCAUUUUUUAUGGGGAUGUAUAUGUUACACCCUUAAAAUAAAAAAAUAAUAUAACUUAUUUAGAAUUUUAGUAAAAAUAUAGAAUAAAAAUAAAAAUUUUGAUAGAUAAGUGAGUUAAUGUACACAAAGAGAAAUCAAUGGGCAUAAGUUUUACAUAGGGUACGUAUUCGGACAGUAUUAUUCAAUUUUAAAAUUAUAAAUUUAUAUUUCUAAAGUUUUAAUAAGUAAAUAUAUCUAUCUAAGAUUCUGAGAUAUGUAAAUUUAUCUCUAUAGAUUUACUGUUCUUCGUCAACCAUUAUAUUUUGCCGUUAGGACUAUUCUUUAGGGGGAAAAAAACGAUUUCUUCAAAUUUUUUUUAGAAAUUAUAAUUUAAGGUCAUGCAUAAAAUGACAUAAAGGUGAGUGUAAAGUGUUUAAAAAUAAAAACAAUAUUAAAGUUUAUUUGAUGAUAGAAUUGUUAUUCUAUAAAAGGAAAAUAAAAUUUUAAUCUGUCAAUUAACGAAAAAUAUUGGAUCAAUUAUAUAAUUUUAGAAUGAAUUGAUAAACGGGUUUCGUUGCCACUCAUUUGUUUUCGAUGAUGGAGCCUUCAAAUCGACGAUCAGUAUCGCUGAAUAUGAUCUAUACCACUUGAAACAUUUAGAAAUAAAAUUUCAUACUUUUCCGAUAUUAUUCUUUUGUUUAUUAAGUAGAGACAAAAAUGAACGGUUGAAAAUAAAUAUCUUCUAAAAAGUGAUAAUAGAAAUUUUGUAAUCAAGAUCGAGAGUAUAGAUCUUGUUCUAAAUAGUUUAAAUGGUUUUCUAACCAAAAUUCAAUUAAUUUGAAUAUUUUUUCACCGUUAAACUAGAAAACGCCUAAUAUCGACCAUUAAAAUUAUAAAUUUUGAAACCCUUUGAUCAUUCGGUCAAUGAUGUUAAAAAGAUUUAAAAUUUGGUUUCUAAAUACUUCAAGUGGUGUAAAUUAUAUUCAACGGUGCCGAUCACCGAUUUGGAGGCUCCAUCAUAAAAAAUAGAUGGGUGGCAAUGAAACCUAUUUGGUACUAAUAGCAUUCCAGCUCAACUCAUUUUAAAAUAAUAUAAUAUUUUUAUUAUUAAAAUUUUAUAAUAAUAUAAAUUAUAGGUAAUUUUAUUACUUUGCAAAUAUACAUAUGCUGGUAGAAUUGAAAAAUAUUUUAUUGGCGAAAAUACUGUGAAACCAUAUCAGUUGUCUCUACCUACAAAAUCUGACGUAGACCUUUAUAAAUUUUACAAAUGUUAUGAUUUUUGUGUAUCUAAAUAAAAAUAUAGGAAUAAUUGUUUAUAUAUUCCUCAAUAUUUUUUACAUAUCUUAUUUAUCAUUAUUUUUUUUUAUUUCAAAUAUACUCUGGUAUAUUUUUUUAUUAUUCAAAAGUACCUCCGAUAUUAAUUAAUAUUCAUUAAUUUAUUUCGGGUUAAUCCUAGGUUAAAUUUUUACCAAAAUUAAAAAAAAAAUCAAAAUACCACUUUUAUUCCAAGUUAAGAACAAAUAAGAAAAAUUGACGGUUAUAAAAAAUUAUAUUUGAAAAAAAAAAAAUUAAAUUAUUUUUUUUUACCACUAAUUUAAGAGCAGAUAAAAAAAAAUAGAGGCGAUAAAAAAAAAUAUUUGAAAGGAUGAAAGUAGUAAUUUUAAAUAAGUAACCAUGGCUGCUGCUCGUUUAUUAACGGAAUCUAAUUUUACAAGUGUAUUUGAAAAAAUUUAAAGUGUUAAAAAUAUAUUUCUCAUUCUAACUUUCUAAGCCGAGUAAUAAAUAGUCAAAUCAAAAACAUUUCGAAACAUAUAACAAUUGCGUCAUAAUAAAUGUAAAUAAAUGUGCGUGGCCACAGCAAAAUUGAUGGAGUUAACUUUCAAGCGCUUGAUGAUGCUAUCGUUAUCCCAGGUCUUAGGUGGGGGCCCACGGAGGAUAGGUUGGCGGGGAGAGAGAGAGAGAGAGAGAGAGAGCGAGCGUUUUUUUUGUAAUAAAAGCGGGUUGGAGUCCGGGGACGAGGGGAGGGCCCUCGCUCCUGCUGACACAUGUGAGACGCGCCGCGAAUGCAGCUCUAGGGUGGACCUUGCCUAUAUAUAUAUAUAUAUAUAUAUAUAGACCCGGCUCUCUACAAUUAAACUUAAAUUAGGAGGCCUUAAAAUUUAGACUAAAUUAGAUUUUUGGUUUUUUAUUAUACUUAUAGCUCAUUAAAAAAAAAUUUUGCAGUAAUUUUCAUCCUAUACUUACGUUGGAAAUCUUUCCAAUCUUUUAAUAAAACUUUUUUUAAAAGCAAUUCGAAAAUUUAAUUUCAGCUUUAGAAAAAUUUCGAAAAGAAAUUAAAUAGUAAAUACGGUAGAGAAAAAGAUUAAAAAAGGCCUGUGGAUCGAGAUGUGCAGAGUACUGUUCUAAAAGCAAAAUUGUCCCUCCACGUGCGAUCGAGGCUUUCUAACAAUUACUUUUAGUGAUAUAACGUUCACGUUCCACUCCGUCGGCACGCUUUAAAGGUGGCACAAGAUGAACCCAACAAGUUCUAGAUCUAGCGACAUAUUAGAAAGCUCGGUGAAAAUUAGUGCAAAAGAUCAAUGGCGAGAAACAAAAGAAAGCGAGGUAGAGAUUAGGGUUUUUGCUCUCAGGUAGGUCCAGAUUCCAGUAGAACUCAUGCAACCUCCUCCAAUAUAUAUCCAAGGCAAAAAUCUUGUUUCAACGUGUUAAUUCCGUAUAGCGCAAGAUAAGCCUCCGACUCCGUAAUAUACAGGAUACGGAUUAGGAUACGUGUAACACACUGAACUUUAGCAAAUUGUAAGGUUCGAGUGUUUGAUUUGUGUUCAGAGCCUUUUCGGAUUUUCUGGAGGGUUGUUUACUUUGUUCCGACCUAUGACUCGCAUCCCGAGAAGCGAUGAUGAAAACAUAGCAUCAAAAUUUCUAAAUUGUAGAUUUUUGGCUACUCUCGGGUUGAGCUCUGCAGGGUAGAGUACCGGUACUGUAUCGGCCGAGUACCGGUACUGGACCUGGUACCGGUACUGCAUCGCGAGGGUACAAGUACCCUGUGUGUUUGCUCGCUUACCCGAGGCUCGGGUUUGCGCAUGCUGCUACCUGGUACCGGUACUUCAGCUCGCAUACCGGUAUGCAGUGCAGUCCAUACACUGCAGGUUUUUGAGAGUUCUCUUUGUAAUUGUUACAAUAUUAUAAAUGCCCCACACCCUUUGGCUAGGGUCUUUUGUGCGCAACCAGAGAAGGAGGAGAGGUAGGUUGCUCUUCAUUUUCCUUACCUUUUUCCUUCUCUUUUGCUUGGGAUUUGGAGAUUGAUCUCUCCCUUUUGCUCCUUUUUGCAUCUUGGUGACUUUCCCACCAUUGGAGAUGUCACGCCCCGGGACCUAGCGGAAGCCCGUCCGGUGCGUGUCCAGACCCGCCAUAUGCUUACAACAUAUAAGGCGUCUACUACAAAGCGAUAAAUAAAAUGAUAAUAAAUGAGCAUCUAGGAGUAUCAGAGCAUACAACAACUAUAUUCUAGAAUAAGGAGGUAAAUAAAAGAACUAAUCCACUAACAUAAACAUAAAGUAGAACAUUCACAAAACCCAAAUACAAGUGCUAUAAUAUCCAAAAAUGGUAGUCUCUAUAUAUCAGUACAAAAACUCUCAUCCUCUCCAAAGUAAAAACAAAAAGAGAGGUGAACCACCUAUCGUAAAAUCUCUCACUAACUAGCUUGAGGCAAUUCCUUUCCCGCGAUCCCGAGCCUCUUCCGGAGUGGAAGGCUCUGUAAGAAAAACAACAAACAGCGGGCAUGAGAAUUAUAAUCAAUAGUUCCCAGUGGGCAAUUGCUGACCACAGCGAAGAUGCACCACUAGGCUAAAAAGGCCAAAGUAGUAUGUUCAACUUGUAAAUGGAAGGUACAACAUGUAUAUAAAAGAUGAAAUAAACUUCCUAACUACUAUGCCUCUACUUUAGCAUGAAUUCCCACAAUAUAAAUGCUAUUCUAACAUGAAUAUGUAUAAGUGUAACCGACAUGAUGUCCACAAGUGCUACUAGUAAAAUAUCAUUGUUUACUAAUUUGUCUAAUAUCAACUUUGCAUUUUAGUCCAAUAAAGUUCCAUUUUUGUAGGACCUACCCGUGGGUAGUCCGACUUGCGCCGUGCCUAAUGGCCCCGUAGUAGUCAACAUUCCUACCCUAAGAAUGAGCCUCCCCCACGGUAUCCCAUUUCGGCGCCCAAUCCCGCACGGGCGAGCUUAUGUCGCGAUGGCUAUCUCCAGAGUGUCGGCUUAUGGGGAGCGACCCUCACAAGUAUGUGCGAAUGAGCACAAUAGCAAGCAAGCGUAAAUGUCCGUCUCAAGUCCAAUGUCAUCAUGUCUAAAACAUGGUAUAAAUACUAGCGACCACAAAGGUCUAGUUCUAUGUCACAAUGUAGAGUUCAACCAUUUACUUUAUCUAAUACCACUUCAUGACAUUAGGUAUACUAUGUCAAACAUAAUCCAAGUCUAAUGCCCCUUUAUGACAUUAUGUUUUCUCCUAUGUCAAACAUGAGUUCUAAAUCCAUGAGCAUGUUAUUCUCGUCAUUUUCAUUACAUGAAAUUUGAUUCCAAACCACAUAAUAGAUGCUAACCAUAUGCAUAGUUACAAUGCACAUAUCUCUCUCUACUACAUAGAGGCAAUUUUUCAUAAAACAUAAUACAUGUAUUUUAAGUAUUCUAACAUUCACAUAUGCUUUAUCUAGUAUGAAUAUGCAUGAUUCUCUAUUUUACAACAAUUAAAAAUGACAUAGGUGGAAUUUUCUCAUUUCGGUGAGGUCAAACCCAUCGAUACUCCUCGGAUCCCCUUCGUUUGCGCCGACGAAGGUGUCCACAAAUCUCCUAACUCCCUAAAGAAAAUUCUAGGAGGGUUAGAUGAAACGAAUGAACACUACUGUAAGAUAUGAAUCCCUAGGAUCUAAAAGGUAAAAGACACCUAGAGGGGGGUGAAUAGGUGUAAACGGCAACAAUCUCGAAACUCGAUGCAAAUUUAAAAUAGAAUGCGGAAAAAUAAAAUCAGCACACCGAGAAUUAACGUGGGAAAACUCCAAACCGGAGAGAAAAACCCACGGGACCGACCACACAAAGAAAUCCACUAAGAAAACAUGAGUACAAGUGAUUUAUCAAAAAUACAAGACUCGAAAUACCGAAUUCUCGUUGUAGAAUAUCUUUGCCAGUCCUCGAUCGCUUGAAAUCCUCCAACCGAUCACACUGCAAAUCCUUGCAGCCACACACGCCUCGAUUCCACGAAACGCCCACCGAAUCCACGGUCUUCACGCGAGAUCCACGCGCUAACGCUCCAUCCGAAGCUCGUAGAGAUUUAACAAUUUAUGGUGAUUUAAACUCUUUGAAAGCACAUAUGAUAUGAGGAGAAAUCCAAAUCAAAACAUCACCAAUUUGAUCCUUAAAGAAAGUUUGAAUCAAAAACUGAAGAAUCAAACCGGUGAUCUAAAACUUGAUCUUGAGAAACAUGGAUCAAAAACUCAAAUCAAGCCGUUAGGGUUUCUAAAAGAUUAUCUUGCUCAACUCACGUCAUAUGGAGAUCCUCAUAUCAUAUUUAUAGGUUUAGAAGACUUCUAGAUAGACUAGGAUUCUAAAAACUCAAUUUUAAAAACAGACGACGGUCUCAGGGUCCGGUCCUCUCGAGGAGACCGGUCCUUGGGAGACCGGUCCUCCAAGGUGAGGUCCGGUCUUACGCUGCGUAGAUGUCAAAAUAUGCGUACGGGGACCGGUCCUCAAUUCAGAGACCGGUCCUUCCCUGCGCAACAAGGAAAACCACUUACGGGGACCGGUCCUCAAGAUCAGAGACCGGUCUCCCAAAACUUCUACGCAGAGAAGCUUGAUGGGUCCGGUCCCUCUGAUCAAGGACCGGUCCCCGACCCCUGAGUUUUUUCAGAAAACUUAAGUUUGAAUAAACAAGAAGGAAACCAAGUCUUCUAAACAUCUUUUAACAAUGAAAACUUCACCACAAAUUAUUUAUAAUCAUACCUGAGUUCUCAAGGGUCUUUGAUCAUAAGAACUUCAAUUCUUUUCGUCAAUCUUCAUCUUCUAAUUCUUCGAGACUCCAUCCAAACCAUCACGAAAUUCGCCAACUUAUAAAAUUCUUAACAAUCUCCCCCUUUGGCGAUUUCGUGACAAAAUACAAAAAGAAUAUACAAUGCUUAUCCAAAGACAAAAAUAAGAAGGUUAUCGCAAUCCCCAAACAACAACCUUCUGCGUGAUCGAUCCAAUAAAAACAGAAUUACAUUUUUAACAUCCUAAUACAGACUCUAUGACUUAGGACAUGACAUGGAGUCUCGAAGUCUUGAAAUACCCUGCAAAAAAAUCUCCACACACUUCAUCAAAAUUUGCAAUGAAUUCAGUUAUAAGUCAAGAGUUCAAGCAUAGUCUAAGCAAAGUUCAAGCAUAGUUACAACCUAACAAGCAAGCAUAAGCAUCAUCAUAGUUCUCAAGCAUAGUUACAUCCUAAGCAAGUAAACAUCAUCAAGCAUCAUCAUCAUCAUCCUCCCCCUUUUUGUCAAGAAAACGCCAAAACGACCAAAAGGAGGAAACACCAAAAGAUCUCAGUCGGAGUCAGCACCAGGCGCAGGAAGAUCCGCACUACAACACCCUAGUUUGUCAAAGAUAGCUCGCAUCAUACGACGAAGCUUGCCCACUUGUCGAGUGAGGCGCUCCUGCUCGGCAACCAUGCGAGCCUGAUCCUCAGAAAUCCGUCGAAGUUCGCCCGAGAUGCGUUAUUGCUCUAGAGAUAACCUUUGUUGUUCCCGAUAAACAGAAGAGACGGACAUUUCUUCCUCAGACACCUCUGCCGAAGGACGAGAAGGACCAGGAGGUGGAGUGGAACGCUGGUGAGACGAACGUCGUGGAGGAGAGCGCUGAGACUGAAGCUGCACCAAAGACUUGAUGAAAGUAGUUUCACUAAUCACACCCAGACUAUGCUCAUAUGACGAACAUCGCGUGUCCACAUCAAACAUCCUCAGUAUCCGCAUAAUGAUCAAAGGAUAAGGCAACCUCUCUGACUGACUAGAAGUCUUGAUAUCUUUAGCCAUACGGCGCCAAACCAAAAAUGGAACAUUAAGAUUGAUCUUCCUAUCACGAACCACAUUCGGCAUACCCACCAAAUACAUAUAAAGCAUGCGAUCCCAACGCACCACCUUCGUGUUAGCCAACGGCAUUAUAUUGUAGCAGACCACAAAAUUCAGGAAACGAUACUCGAUCUUCAAUUCCUUUGACAUUACACAAAUGCCGUUCGGUUCAACGUUGGGCAAACAUACACCAUUCAUAACCAGACGCCAGUCUCGCACCGCAUCAAAACCAGCAUGCAAGUAUUCAGUGCCAUCAGUCCGAGCUUGCAUACCAAGAACAGAAGCAAUAGUUUCAGGCGUAAUUGUCAACUCGAUGCCACGCACGUUGGUCUUAAAGAUGAACGGUCCACCAUCGGAAUCUUCCAAAUAUCCCGCUCGCAUAUAGAAUUUCCGAAUUAAUUCUAAACAAUAUCCAGUUUGUUCGGAAAAAUCGCUAAUUUCAUAAAGACCUCCGUUCUCAAACAAGGCUUGAAGACCAGGAACUCGUUCAAUUAAGUUCUGAACUCCAACGUGGCGCUCACCAAUACAAGUCUUCGAAGAGUACAUAGAGCUCUCUUUGGAUCAACGUUGCCUUCCUGAGUACUCCGGCGAGGUAAAUCAGCGGUAGGUUCACGAAUGUCAAUACCUCCAGUCUUCUUCUUACUACGAGAGUAUGUCAAUUUUUCAGGUCCUUUGCCUUUGGCCUUACUCUGCCCUUUCUCCUUUUCUGUAACUACCUUUUCCUUUCCUUUCUUCUUCGUCAACAACACUUCCGGAGAGAGUGCUUCCCAAUCCGUCGACUCAGUCUCUGAUUCUUCAUCAGGAGCAUAUUCACUCCCGACAUCCUCAACUGGUGGCUCGACACAGUGCUGAGUUGAAGUACGCUGACGCUUACCACCACGACCACCACCAGCCAUGAGGAACACAAGCACAAGCAGGAGUGAAAUCAUUUUGGUUUUCGAAAGAAAUCCCUGUUUCAACAAGUGAAGGAAAAACGCAGAUAUCAUCCAGAUUUUUUUUUUAAAAAAAACUUGAUGGAAUUUAGGGCCACAUGGAAAAAGGCCAAAUGAUGCAUCAAAAAAAUGAAGAAAUGCAUGAGGAGAUCAAGAAUCACAAGGAUAUUACAGAGAUCAAUCAUUAGAAAUAAGAUACCUAACAAAAUCUCAGAUUCAACCUCAAAACAGAUCUCGGAUGUAUAUGCACAUUAAACACGUAAAGAAACUUAACUCAAGGAAAGAAUGUGUACAUGGCAGGGCAAAAUCCCCUCGCGGAGACUAGGUACUAAUUCGUUGGAAGAAUUCAGAAGAAAAAGUAGUAGAGAGAGAGACCGGACUGAAGGGUAUUGGGUCGGGCGGAGGGACGGUCUUGCAAGACAGGGACCGGCCGCGACCAAAUUUCGUCCCCUUUUUUUUUUUUUUUUUUAGAAUGAUUCCAUGAUAUAGAGUAUGAAAUUUAGUGAUAAUUGGCAAAAUCCAUUCAAAUAUUCAAAUAUGUCAUAAAUGUUGAAGUAGAUACGAAAUAAAUUCUAUGAAGUAUAGUAGCUAAAAUCAGACGUAUGCAAUCAAGAUCUAAUAAAUCGUUCAUCGAAUAAAUCUUAAUAAUUGCUAGUGAAGCGAAUAAAAAGAUCCUUUAUUAUUGAAUUAAGAUAAGAUGAUCAUAGUUAUGAAAAAGAUUCGACAGGAAGUUGGCUCUUUGAGAAUCUUUUCCGCUGAUCACCUUGGUAUAAACCUAGGAGAUAUAUUGGAAAGUAUCAUGCUUUUCAUCUCAAAGCUUUUAAGACUUUUUGAUUAUAUAUAUAUAAUAUAUCGACAUUGUUGGUUCUUUAUCAAUUUGAGGAUUGCUUUAAACAGACAUGUGGUGGUGCACAAAAAACCAUGUAACGACGACCGAGAGAGUUAGCUUUUCUCCAUGUGGUGGUAGUUUUACACUGUCCAUGGGGAUGUAACUAUUUCCACUUUUUGAAAUUUAUUUAUUCUGUAAGGAAAACUCACCCUAAAAAGUGCAAUCCUCAAGUUGACGGAUGUUAUCACAAGUUUAAAAAUAGGGAAAUUUGUAUUUCUACUCAAGCGCUGAUCUGACAAGACAGACAUGUUUAAGUUUCAGGAAAGGAUGUUUGGUAUUUUUUGCAAAGUAUCCAAAAUGAAUUUAAUGAUCUAUCUUUUCAUAAUAUAAGAGGAUAAAAUGUAUUGACCAAGCUAGCACAUUUAUGAAUCUGCCAUGGAUAUCUCAAAAUAAUCAGUAAAACGGGAAGAUGCGCAAAAGUUGUGCAAGAUUAUGCCAUAGGAUUAAUCUAAAAGAUGGAUUUCCUACAAUAGCUUUUCGAAUGAGAAACGUUUUGAUCUAAAGGUUUUGUCAAAAUAUCAGAGCUUGAGUUCUUAAGUAGAUAUAUAUUCAGAUGAGAAGUUUGACGUCAAUUCCUCAAAAUAUGAUAUCUGAGGUUCAUGUGUUUUGUUCCAGAGGAUGUAAACAGAGGUUUUUAGGAAUAUUAAUUGCACUUGUGUUAUCACAAGAAUGUAAGAGUGGAGGAAGGGAUUGAUAGUCGCUCAGACUUUUCACUCCAUCAACUGAGUAGAACACGACUAAUAGCAGUAUAUAUUCAGCCUCGGGCGUGAUAGUGCUAAUACAGUUCUGUUUCUUGCUGUGCCAAGCAAAGCAAUGUCGAUAGAUGAAACAUGCUCACUAGUGCUCUUCCGAUCUCGGCAGUUAGCCAGGCCGUCUGCAUCGAGUCCAAUCAAAUCAAGAGAUGUUCCAUAGGAUUUACGGAGACAUAUAGCGAUGUACUUUAAACGUAUCGAAUAAUCUUUUGACGCUUUUAGAUGAUUUCAUUUAGGAUUAGCGUUGAUAGCGAGCACAAUUCACGCUGAAUGCAUAUUGAGUGACUUGCAGUAAGUACAUAGGCUCCUAUCAUGUUCUGAUAUGAAUUUCUCAUUACAUCGGUUCUUCGAAUUCAAUCGAGUCCUUUGUUACUUGUACAUUGGAGUGGCUCUAAUUCUUAUGCAUUAUCCAUUCAUUGUUUUAACAAAAUCUUUUGCAUAUUGGAUUGAACAGUGUAUUCGAUCUUUGUUUGUUUGACUUGAAGUCAGAAAAUAGGUAGCUCUUCCAUCAGUUUUGACAUUUCAAUUCGGCUUGUCAUAAUUUGCAAAUCUUGGCAUCUUUAUGCCUAGUUGCGUCCAAGACAGAUUGUAUCACUAAUUGUGCACGAUGAAUUUAUUCUUUCGAGUGUUUUACAAAAAGAUUCUAUUUGUGCCUCGGUUGGGUAGCCCGUUUCAAAAGAAAUUUUGUCAACGGCCGUACAUUGCCGGGGCCUGUUUAGACAUAAAUGUGCUUUUUCAGACGAAAACAUGUUAGAAAAUUUUGAUAUUAUGAACCUUUUGGUUGUUCAACAAUAGACUUCCUCUUUUUAGAACUCAUUUAGAAAAGCAUUUAACAUCAUUUGAAAAGAAGUAAUUUUAAAUGACAGGCGUCGCAAACAGCAUACGAAUUGAUUUCAGACGAGGCAAUGAACGGGCGCGCGAAGGUUUCCUAAAAUCAUUCCUCAACUUUGUGAGUAGUUUGAGCAACGUUUGCUUUUUCGACAAUAGGUACAUCCUCAUUUUUUUUUUGCUAAAAAUCCACUGGUACAUUAUGGUUUGUUAGGGUCAGGACGCCGAGGCACCGAAUUCGCGAUAGUCAAUUACGCCGUGAAUUGGACCAAGAUUCAUUUGCAUAGCAUUAAUCAGUUUAUUAUCAAGACGGUUCAUACAACAUUCUUUGGUAACUAGAGAGUUAUGUAAGCAAGAUUACACUGUGCUGUCUCUUGUUUUCACAGUAGGGUCUACAAUAAACAUUGAUUAGUGGAUGAUCCUUUACAAGUGUAAGUUCAGAGUGAGUGGUGAUAGGGGGUUUCAGAUGAAUCUGUGAUGGCUAAUGUUAUCACAGUUUCAGCAGAAAUAUGCAGCACGAGAAUUUCUCAUUACAGGCACGUUAAUGGAGAUAUCAUUUCGGAUCAUCACUAUACGGAAGUAGAGGAACAUUCGACAGGAAGAGCUUACAGAAGAAGUUAUCUCUUUUGAUAUUAAUUGAAUUCUUACGGUUUAGUACGUAUUGUAAGACGAUAUGACGACUGAAGUAGAUUCGCAAGAAAGAAUUCUUUGUCACUUCGUGGAGUCAUAAUUUUCAAGAUUUUUCACCGAUCAGCCGAAGGAUUAAAAACAUUUAUCCGAAGUACCGAAAGAUUUAAUGUUCUGGUAUUUUACAAUCCACAUAUCUACGGGUGUUUAGUACCGGGACUGUAAUAGAUUGCGGUUAUCAUAGCAUGCCUGUGUUAUGCUUCAUGACCAAAGUGAUAAGUGCAAACUUGUCUUUGCUAUGAAGAUAACACGCACAUCUUGACGAACCCUGGUUUUCGUUCAAGACUCCGUUUGUAAGUGGUGAUAAUACGGAGGAGGAAUUAUGUUUGAUGCUUUUGAAAACCGAAUCACAAUUUUGAAUUUAUAUUUUCCCCUUGAUCACUUCGAAUGCCGGACAUUUUAUUUCCUUUAUUAUAAAACGGAGGCAGAUUCAGAAAAAGAAUCAAAAGUUAUCAGUUUUUUAGUUAAGAAUGCACUCAAGACUAAACGAGUAAAAUCGUCAAAUAAUGCAGAUGUAUCGUUUUCACCCAAACUUUGAUUCUAGGUGGUCCAUAAAGUUCUGUGGAGUAGCUCAAUUGGUUUGGAUGUCCUAUAGUGCUGUUUCAAUUCUUAUGUAUGGAGUUAGUGUGUGCUUUCCAAUGAUCACACGCCACAAACAGUGUUUCUUGAAGUCUAUUUAGGUACCUAAAACUCCUUUCUUUUGUUUAUUUUAGAUAGUUCUUAGUUUUCAUGUGCUGAGCGUUAGCAUAAAGUUCAAGUCCUAAUGCGCAUAGGUUGCUAUUUCAGUAUAGAUAGGGAAGCUACAUAACGUUAUUCUCGAUUCUAGACACCUCUUUGAAAAAAUGUCAUUCAUACAGUUCAGUGCUUUCUUUGUAGAAAAAUUUACGAGUAUCCAUCUCCACAACUGACUUAUGCUUAGAUGAUUUGAUUUUGGCGAGGACUACAUAAAAGAAUCAUUCAAAGUCGGGCCUUUGAGAUAGUGCAGUUCCUUUGUAUCAACAAUUUUCGAUUGACCGACCAUCUCCAAAACAACAGUCACCGGAUGAUUUUGUAUUAAAGGAAGAAACGCAUUUUUAUCAGCUCGGUCAUAUGACGGUUGAAUAGACCACUUAUCAAUACCAGAAGUGAUUAUCGUAGGCAUGAAGUGAAGUAGUGAAUGACAGGCAAGGAAAGAGCUUCCUCUUGCGACCAAACACUUACGGUUUUUGUGAUUGCGAUUUGUCCGUCUUGAUUUGGAGCACGCUUUUGUUGUCGACGGAUUUUAUGUGUAGUUCUUUUCUUCGAAUCAUUUCUUUUAGGAUCCACGUUUGUCUUUCUUAGUAUUGGAAUCCUCCUUCUGCAGUUGGUCUGUAGGUCUCAAUUUGUGUGUUGUAGAUUUGUAGAUUUUGUUACAAAAUCUUUCACAUGGGCCUUUACACACAAAGAAUGACACGUUUUGUUAGGCAAUAGGUAUUUGGAGGCGGAACAAUUACCAUAGACUUCGGAAUUGGUUUUUGUGGAGUGUGUCGUUACUUUGCUUUCAUUACUUGAUCGAAUUAUGUCCGUUCGUAUCCAAGUCGAUUUGUUGGUUUGACCAAGUCCUACAAUUUUUAUCAAGUUUGCUCUUACCGGCGAGAACUGUUCAUCCUGAUUUGGUUGAUGAUUAGUCUUGUUAAUUCAUGUUGGAUUCUCUUGCUUCCGGUGUAUUGUGUUAAGAAUGUGAUGUUGUUCAUACAUGUUUCCUUAGUUUCUCAAGAGUGCAAUUGUCAAGUCUAGAGCAUUAAGUGACUCGAGUCAAAGUGUCCUUUUCCUGCUUCCAAACUUUUGUCAAUGCUCUAUCUUGUAUUGUUGCGUCUAGAUGCUACAGUCUUCGUCUCAACUUUUUGUUGGUAUUGUUUCGCCUUUCUUUGAUUCCGAAUACAGUUGAUGAUAUGCGGCGGCCAUUAUCUUAUUUCUUCCGUUCUUUAUCGUCGAGUUUCGUAGAGAAUUUUUCAUGCAAGGGACUGAAUUUAGUCAGUCGAUAGGUAGACAGCUAAAGUAGAAUAUGUGCAAUAAGUGGUUGGCGUUAACUCCAUGGAUACAUUGAGGACGAUUCGUGCGGAAGGGAGAUCUCCAGUAAUGGCUUGAUCAGAUUCUUUUUCAAGAAUUUUGUUAGGACAAUUGAUGCAAUAUGAAACCACAGCUUUAGAUGAUUUGCCUGUCGCUACUUUUCUUCUUUUGUAAUCUUUUUGGAAAAUUUCAGAUUUAAUUUGAGAGAAGAGAGGAACUCCUUUUUAUGUGUUUUGGCUUAGAGGAAUUGGGCUUCGAAGAAACUUCUUUUCUAAAUUCCGACGGAUUUCUGUGCAAAAGUGCCAUUUGUUGCUCAAACUCUUCCAAGGUCACAUCAGAGUCCGAGGUUCGUAUGAAGAAAGACUUCACAAUGCCUCCUUUCGUGAUUUUAGUGAUCUGAAGGUUGUUGGGGAAUGUGGAAGAAGGAUGAACUUAGCGAAAGAGUGAUUUAUACGUUUGAGAGCCCAAUCAUUAUAUACUUGGUUCAUCGGAAUGUUUUACCGUUUCUUAUGGCCGACCUUGGGCCGAAAAGCGGUUCGGGAGAGUUCUUCAAAUUUUUUCGAACGGAUUUUGGUUCCAGAAUUUGUCACCCAAAUUUUGACACCAGUUUGACAUAUCUUUGAGACGAGUGUGUUUAUAUAAUUUCGGUAAGGUUUAUUUUUUGCCUACGAUAGAAUCAACGGAAAUAGUCGACAUUGUAUUGUCUUGAACUUUUCAAGCUUGCCCUUAAGUGAGUGAUUUGUAAAGUGUCCAAAUUUUCUUUUUGCAGGUUUCACAUGCUGAUACGUCGUGAAAUUCAGUUUGUUCAAUGCAUUGAACAGCAUUGAAUACCCUUCCCAGUUGACGAAGAUGUUCGUUUUGUCUUUUGUCCAUUAUUUUAGGUUUCGGACCGGUAAAAUUCGCUUCAGUGGGCAUGUUUCCAUCGAUUCAAUGGCUCAUUCACCUCUUCGUCGAUAGCAUAAGAAACCCUCGAUUACGGACUUUAUACGCGCUGUUAGUGCCAUCGAAGAGAGGGGUGUCGAUUAAUGGUUGCCGGCCCAUCGGCCAUAGAUUAAACCUAUACGACCGCUCUGAUACCAUUGUAGAUAUGAAUCCCUGGAUCUAAGGUAAGACACUAGAGGGGGCGUGAAUAGGUGUAAACUGGCGAACAAUCUCGACUUCGAUGAAAUUUAAAAUAGGAUGCUGGAAAAAUGAAAUCAGCCACGGAGAUAUUAACGUGAGAAUCCAAACGGAGUGAAGAAAAACCACUGGACGUCACACAAAGAAAUCACUAAAGAAACAUGUAGCAAUGUGAUUUAUCAAAAUACAAGACUCGAAAUACGAAUUCUCGAUGUAAAGUCUUGAGUCCCGAUCGCUUGAAGAUCUCCAGCGCGAUCACUUGCAAAUCUUGAGCACACACGGCCUCGACUCCACGAAACGGCCUACGAAAUCCCGUCUUACGCGAGAUCACGCGAGUUAACGCUCAUUUCGAAGCUCGUAAGAGUAAAAUUUGUGGUGAUUUAAAUAGUCUUUGAAGCAAUAUGAUAUGAGGAGAAAAUCCCAAUCAACAUCACCAAUGUUUAUCCUUAAAGAAAGUUUGAAUUCAAAACUGAAGAAUCAAACGGUGAUGCUAACUUGAUAUUGAGAGAAAUGGCAUCAAAAUCAAAUCAAGCCGUUAGGUUUUAAGAAUUAUCUCGCGUCAACAACACGUCAUUGGAAUGGAGAUAAUCUUCAUAUUUAUAUGGUUUUAGAAGACUUCUAGAUAGACUAGGGGUGGGAUUCUAAUUCAAUUUUAAAUAAGCGACGGGUCUCAGGGUCGCGGUCUCUCCGAGAGUAAGAGACCGGUCUUUGGGAGACGCGUCUCCAGGUGAGUCGGUUUACGCAUGCGUAGAUGUCAAUAUGCGUACGAGGACGGUCCUAAAAUUCGAUAGACCGGUCAAAUUCCCUGCGCAACAGUGAAAAACCACGUCGGGGCCGGUCUAAUGAUCAGAGAGCGGUUACCAACCUUUACGCAGAGAGCUUGAUGGGUCGCGUCGCCUUGAUAGGGAUGGUCCGUCCCCUGAAGUUUUUUCAGAAACUUAAGUCUGAAUACAAGAAGGAACUGUCUUCUAAUAAUCUUUAAAUGAAAAUUCCCAAAUUUAUUUAUAAUUCUACCUUGAGUUUUUCAGGAGUCUUUUGAUCAUAAGAACUUCAAUUCUUUUCGUCAAUCUUCAUCUUCUAAUUCUUCGAGACUCCAUCCAAACCAUCACGAAAUUCGCCAACUUAUAAAAUCCUUAACAACUACACAUGUCGAUCUUUAACCAACCCAAGAAAAAGAUUAAAACUCACCUAUAAUGUAGAAAAAUCCUCUCAAAUCCCAAAAGUGAGCUAGGUCCCUUCAAAUCCAACUUAAACAAAGGUUCUAAACCAAUCAAUUAAGCUCCAAAAGCUUCUAAUCAAAAAUUCCCAAGUAAACCCUAGUUUUCUCAUUUCUAGGGUUUCAACAUGAAAAUCCACCAAAAAGAGAUCUAGAAAGAAGAUCUAGGUUACUAACCUUUCCACAAGCGCCAAACCAAGCUUGAAAGGUGCUAGGGUUGAAGAUUAAUCCUCAAGCAAGCUCCAAACUCCCAUCCAAAACUUCUCCAAUGGUGAAAAAUCAUCAAAAAGCCCAAAAAAAGAAAAAGGGAGGAGAUUAAUCCUCUAAAAUCCUAAUAAAUAUGAAAGAAGAUCAAGGAGGAGGAAUAGAGAGGCUCCUUACCUUGAUCUCAGGUGUUUCCAAGCUCAGGAAACCAGCAAAAGACGUGGGUGGCUUUAUAGAGUUGCUACAAUAGCAAAAGCACCCCUCAAAAAUUGCAGUCUGCGAACUGCACUGCGUACCGGUACCACGGGCAAGAGUACCGGUACCAAGUUAGCCAGACAGCCAACCCGAGCCUCGGCCGCGCAGGAAAAUGCACAGAGUACCGGUACCCGCCUGAUGCAGUACCGGUACUCUGCCCUACAAAGCCAAAUUCGAGAGUAACCCAAAUUCUUCCUUUUUGAGAUUUUGGCGCUAAUUUUACAACCUCGAUUCUUGGGAUGCGAGCCAUGGGUCGGAACACUAUCUAUGACUAUCCAAAAAAUGUGGAAAAGCUCGGAACACAGAUCAAACACUCGAACCUCGCAAUUUGCUAAAGUUCAGUGUGUUACAGAAGAAGCUUUGGAGCUUGGAUUGGAGCUUGUUUGAGGAUCGAACUUCAACCCUAGCACCUUUUGUAACAUAUUGCAUCCUCGUAAGUCAUGCCGAGUUCUGUCGAAAUGAGCGGAGCGCGGAGUGGAACGAGUUGGAAUGAGUUUUAAGUGCAUUGGAACCUUGGUGUAAGGUAAAAAGACCCAAGAGGGCAAAAUUUGUGAAAAUGGGUAAGUCUCAGAUUUUGGACUCUCGGGGUCCGGUCCCUGGAAGGAGAGACCGGUCCCCGUAGGUUGGAAAAUUUCUCAUCGGCUGAGUUUUAGAAGUUUUGCUCUCAGGGUCCUGUCCCUGAAGGAGAGACCGGUCCCCGUACGUGUAGCCAGCCAAAAAGAUGAAAAUUUGGCGAGACCGGUCCCCGUACGCGUAGCCAGCCAAAAAGAUGAAAAUUUGGCUAAGUCCUGAGAGGAGUGCUCUCGGGGGUCGGUCCCUGCUGGGAGAGACCGGUCCCCGUAUGCGAAAACUGCCCUGAAUGGGCUGUUGUGAAAGGUGCAAUGUUGAAGGGUUUAUGUGCAAAUGUCACAUGAGAGGGGUGCAUAUGUUGGUUUGCUUGUGGGUUAGGGCUCAUUUGCUCUCACCCAGCAGAAAAUAUCUCCCUCUCUCUCUCUAAAACCUUCUCUUGUCUCUUCCUUUCUCUCUAGGGCUUGGAGCAAGAGAGCUUUUGGAGGGGUCUAAGUGGAGAAGAAGAACAAGUAGAGGGUGUUGCUUGCAAGAGUACAAGUGUACAAGGAAAGCUUGGACUCCAAGGUGAGUUUCCAUGGUUUUUGAGUUAGGGUUUUAGCUAUAGCUUCUAGUUGAAGCAUCUAGGAGCUCUUAUGGUAAUUUCUCCCAUGUUUCUCAUAUAUAAGGACUAGUUUGGGGAAGAAGAUGUUGUACAAGGACCUAAAGUUAGGAUUUUUGGAUUUUGAGGUCAAAGCUUAGGUUUGAUCCCUUUUUAACCUAAUUGAUAGGUCAACUAACACGUUUGUGCGCUCGGUUCGGCGAUACGACGAGCGUACGCGAAGUAUUGAGAAAAGAAGCUAACUUGGUACAGAUCGUCGCAGCUUGCGCAGCUUGCGGCACGAAAAAUUGGAUCGUGGCAUCCUAGCAUCACCAAAAGGUGGGGGGUGGUAUUCGGAAACACCGAAUUUCCUUCUAUGUCUAUGUUACCAUUAUUGAGCAUAUUGAUGGUUAGCAUUCAUGCAUAUAGGAUAGUGUGAUGAAUAUGAUUGGUUGAGAUUCAAUUGUAUGCUAGAGAACAUAUGAAUUGAUAUAGAAUCAUGUGAACUAAGAAUGUGAAAAACCCUAUGUGUAUGUGAAGGUAUGAAAAAGAGACUAUGACAAUAGUAAACAAUGGUGACAUUGACAUUAGUGACGAGAUUGGCACCGAGAAUAAGAACGGCUAAACAAGGUUUAUCCUAGAAUGGCAUUAGGACCAUUAUGGCUCAGGUAUAGUAGAAAUGUGAUAUGGUAAUGACCUAUCAUCGGCAUUGAGGCUUUGUGCAUUGAGACAGGUUUGGCUACGUCCUCAAAUUGAGGAUUGGAUCAUACUCACACAUUGGUUCUGGUUUGAGGGAGGUAGCUCCUCCUCAAGCGGUGUACUCCGGAGUGUAGACACCACAGGGAAAGUACGCCGACGAAGAUCCCUCGGGCGGUAGUGCCAAGUGCCUCCCCUGGUAGACGGGAUUUGUGGAUUGUGAGUUUGGGGUGAACCAUGUGUACCCCGGGAUAAUUGGGUAAAGGCCAAAAUGAAUGAGGAAAAGAACAUGCAUGCAUAUUUAUCAUGUAUUUGAUUAUCUAUCUGUUGACAGCUUUCUUGCAGGCAUUGUAAUAGUUUUGCAUUAGUUGGUUUGCAAUCUAUCAUUUCUUAAAUUACAUAUGCCUGAAUAGACUUAGUGGGCGAGUCGGCGCGAUUAGCGGCCGAACCCACUAGGAACUUCUUUUAGUUCUCACGCCACCACUAACCCUGCAGAUCCAUGCGUGAGCGGGGCGGCGGAGGAUCGAGGCAAGGGUAUCGCGCCGUAGAUAGCGGCCCUCGGAAUAUAGGCAUACCCUAUGUGUUAUAGUUUCAACUUUUGUAUGUUGAAUAGAUGGAUGAUGUAAAUUAUGUAUUUUGGGUUGAAUGCCAAUGUAAUGUAAAUGAAUGGAUAAGAAUGAAUGUAAGUGAAUAGGUUACUUGUGUUUGAUUCAAAUGUAAUCAAAUGACAUGUAUGGAUUGUAUGUUUAUAGUAGUAGCUUAGAGCUUUCGCUAUUAUGGUUUUUGUUUGCCCUCGAGCAAACCUAGUAUAAUUGCAUUCAUCCUGUCGAAUUGCUUGAAUUAUACUUGUUGUGUAAGAAAGUGAAUUCUUGAAAUCCGAGAGUUGGACUUCGUUUAAAAUCGACUUAUUGUCGACUUGGUAUGCUUCGGAAAGUCCGAAUACGACGAAAACGCGAAAAGCGCUUUAGGGAGGACCUUGGAGAGUUGAGGAUUGCAAAGCUUGCAGGUUGCAUAGCUUCAUAAUUCUCGGGGUCCGACCCUAGUGGCAAGGUCCGGACCACGUAGCUGCGAAAAACCCACUUGGGCUUAAGAAUUGCAAAAUCUGCAACUUGCAUAUUUUUUCGACUCUCGGGGUCCAGACCCUAGCUUUAGGGUCCGGACCCUAUACCAUGAACAUGCCCAGUUGGGGCAGUGUGUGAGGAGGGAAGAGUAGAGGGGGGUUUUGGUAAUUGUGCAUUAUAAGAGAGGCUUGGGGGCUACUCCUCUCUCUUAUUCUCUCAUUUGCCAAAACCUAAUUCCUCUCUCUCUCUAGAGCUCUCUCUCUCUCUAUAGGAAGGAGGAAAGGAGAGGAGGCUUGGUGGAGAUUGGAGCUAGGAGCAAGGAGAUCGUCUUCUCCUCCUUCUCCCUCAAGCUUGGAGCUUGGUUAUUGAGGUAAGCUUCCACCUCUCUAAUGGCAUUUUCCUAGGGUGUAGGGUUUGUACUCUAGGCUUGGUUUGGUUGGAACUCUAGAGCCCCUAGUAGAUAUUCAAUGCUUGAAUCUCAAGCUAGAAUCGCGAAUUUUCGCAUUGUUGAAACCUAGGGCUCCAAAAUGGGGUUUUGGAAAAUAGUGGGUUUUGAUCUAAUUUGAUCAUGUGUAAACCUAAUUGCUAGGUAUCUAAACGCGUUGACGGCGACGGUUCGACUAUUCAUCGAGUUGGUGCGGAGAUAUCGCCAAGUGAAGGGCGUUUCGGCGUCGUUUCCAGCCGAAAGGUCGAGGCGGCGACUUGUGAUCGCGAAUUCGGAUUUCCUACCUCGCUUCGUCGCUAAGAGGUGGGUGGUGACCAUCCCGAAGCAGUUGAACUGCUUCCUAUGUUUACGUAUUAUUGUUGAUCGAAUUGCAUAUUGUGCAUAUUGAACUCUUGCAUUAUAGGGUGCUUAAUUGGUUGUUUCAUAUUCUUGCAUGCUAGUGUAGUGUAGUGUUGCUUGUUUGGCACUUGAACCUAGUAUGCAUGAGAUUGGGAAGUAGUGCUUUAGAGCCCUAUAAUGAGAGGAUAAAUGUUAACUCGAUCCUAGGUAGAUGAAAACCUAGUGAAUGUGUAAUUAGUGUAUUGGGAACACUUAAACAAGAACGAGUGUCAUCUAGUUAAUGUUGAACACAAGAACGAGUGGCAUCUAGACAAGGUUAAUAACUUGACGAGUGGCAUGACAAGCAGACUAUAGAUGGAAAUACUUGUUCAUGUUGAACUUAGGGAUGAACUAGUUCCCAAGUAAUGUUGGCUAUUAGGAGCAGGGUAUCCUCAGUGACGAGGAUUUGAUCAUAUUCACAUGUCUGUUCAGAGCUUGUAGGCGGUCGCUCCGCUCAAGCGUGCGCUCCGGAGUUGUCACACGAUAGGGAUAGCCUUUUUGGGUCCCGAGGGGUGAGCCUUUUUGGGCCCCGCAGACAGUCUCGGGUGAGUGAGUAGAUUCUCACCUUGAGUGAGCGGUUCCUCACCUACGAAAUGAGAUUGUGAGUCGGGUGAGUGAGUAGAUUCUCAUCGUGAGUGAGCGGUUCCUCACCUAUGGUUAUGUUGUUAGUCGGGCGAGUGAGCGGAUCCUCCCCGUAAAGAGUAGAUUGUGAGUUGGGUGAGUAGUAGAUUCUCACCUUGAGUUAGCGGUUCCUCACCUACGAUUAUGUUGUGAGUCGGGCGAGUGAGCGGAUCCUCCCCGUAGAGAGUAGAUUGUGAGUCGGGCGAGUGAGCGAAUCCUUCCCGUAGAGAGUAGAUUGUGAGUCGGGCGAGUGAGCGGAUCCUCCCCGUAGAGAGUAGGUUGUGAGUCGGGUGAGUGAGCGGAUCCUCACCAGUGUGAUCGAAUAGAUGUGGCACCCAUAAGGGGGGCAUGAGAUUGAGAUGUGAGAUUGAGGGCGAGCCCACGGGCUAGCCGAGUGAUUAGGUGAUUAAUGAAUAGUAUCGUUGUUGGACAUAGUAGCAUUGGACAUAGUAGCAUGGUAGUUAGCCUUUACUAUGUAGUACAUGCAUUCAUUAUACUGGAUGAAGGCAUAGUAGGAUACCUGCAUUCUACUUACUUGCUGUUGUUACUAUUUCAUACGUAGCUAUCUAUCUAUCUAUCUGUCUGUCUUCCUAUGCCUGCUUAGACCUAGUGGGGAGAUAGGCGGAGUCGGCGGCCGAACCCACUGGGAACUAUUCGUAGUUCUCACCCCACUUUGUUGCAGGGCCGAGCUCGGGUACCCCUGACGAGGAUCGUGGUAAGGGCUUAGCGCCCUAGUGCUAUUUGAUAGAUACUUCCUUUUUGCAUUAGAGCUACCCUAUGUACUUGAGAGUAGAUGAUGUAUAGGGUGAGAUGAGUUGGAGAAUAGUAAACUUUAUGUUAUAUUUUGGAAGAAUGUAAAGUUAAUCGAAUGUAUUAAAGUUGAAUGGCUGUAAUAGAUUAGUAUCUCUCUUUUGUUCACUAGUUUAUUACUUGUGAUGCUUGCUCUUGAUUGUUUAGCACUGGUUGUGCUCUCGCUGUUGUUGUAUGAUCGUGUAUGUAUUCAAGUGAUUUCCUGAAAACUUGUUGUACAUGAUCUCGUUGUUUAGCCUUGGGCGGACGGGGGAGAUUCUGUCCGUCCGGCGUCUGUUCGACGCGCCCGAACCGGACCAAAUUGGUAGCGGGCUCGGGGCGUGACAUGUUGUUUAGAGCCUUGGGCGGACAGGGGAGAUGCUGUCCGUUCGGCUUCUGUCGGCGUACCCGAACUGACCAAAUUGGCGGCCUCGGGGCGUGACACCUUUCUAGCUAGGUUUGGGACUUCAAGAGAGGUUAGUUGAUUACUUCUCUCCUUUGGAUCAUGUUUCUUGUGGUUUUUGUGCUGAAACCUAGAAAUGAGAAAUCUAGGAUUUUAUUUGGGGGUUUUUGAUUUGUAGUUUUUGGGGUUAACUUGAUGGGUGUAGAACUUUCUUUUAGAUUGGAUUAGAAGUAUUCUAGCCUUCAUUUGGAGUUUGGAAGGGUUCUACAUCAUACAAGGUGAUUUUGACCUCAUGUUGGGUUCGUUAAUGUUUAGCUCUUGGGGUGUUCGUUCAUUACCCUAACCCUCUUAGAAUUUUCUUUAGAGAGUUAGGAGACUAUUGGAUAUCUUCAUUCGCGCAAACGUAGGAGAUCCAUGGAGUUCUUGGUGGGUUUGACCUCACCGAAAUGGGUGAACUUGUCACGCCUCGGGGUCCCUUUGGAUUUAAGAUCCAAAGCGGAAGUACCCAAAUUUAUUUAUUUAUUUAUUUAUUUUUAAAUUUUGACCCCAGAGUGUGUCAGAUCCGCCACAAAUACAGAAAAUCCACUGUUCACACGGACAGAGUCUCCCCUGUAUUUGCAUGGCGUCGCACAAGUACAAUAUACAACCACAACCGUAUGAGCAUACACAUAUAUUCACCAUUCACAUUUACAUUGAUUUCAUUACAAAUAUCUAUAAAUACACAUCUAUUAGUUUAAAACGUUUCCCACUCGGAAACUCCUUUUGAAGUACUAAGAGUCAUGAAAACCAAUAAAAAUCUUUUCAAAACCGUUUCCCACACGGAAACUCUUUUUUUUUAAAACCCGCUACCACGAGGGGUAGAAAACCGUUUUCAUCUCAAAGAAAACCAUAAGUUCUUUAAUUUAUUCACCAAAGUCACAUUUAUUCAAGUAAAUGAAAGCCAACUGAACCAUAAAGUUUGAGUUAGUUAUUUAGAAUAAGCAAGGAUAGAAACUAAACCAAAUGUUACCGGGCCGGAAACUCUAUCGACCACUAUGAACGUGUCUCACGUCUCGUCUCAACCCUCACUGCCCGCAAUACCUGAAAAAUAGUGGGGGGUGAGAACAUUUAAACAUGUCUCCCCCUCCUAGUGGGUACUGCAAGCCGACAAAGGCGAGGAGUACUCACUGGAAUAGGAAGAGAUAAAUAAGGUCAUGAGCAGAUAUACCAAGUAGAGUAGUGAUAAACUGAAAGGAAAUAAAACAAUAACAGAAUAUAUAACUACCGCUACUGUAAAGAAGAACCGAAUACAUACAUGGAUAUCAAAAAUAUAGUAGUGAGAAAAGUGUAAAGAAGGGAUUGUAAGUAUAUAUGCAACAACCGCUAUUAUAGCCAUAUGCGUCAACUGACGACAAGUCCAAAAUACCCAAUCUGAAACUGCCCUAUGGGUUCGUAGACCUCAGGUCUGUGCCACAACUGCUCUAACCUGUAAAUGACCAUCGCAUAAGCACCCGGGUCUAAAAGGUAUGUGAUCCUUGCAAAAAGCACCCGGGUCUGAAAGCACAUGACCUUCGCAUAAAGCACCCGGGUCUGAAAACAUAUAACCCUCGCAUAAAGCAUCCGGGUCUCACGGGCUGGCACUUCCAACCACUUUUUCGGAAAAGAACACCCUCUUGCAGUGGCCAAACCGCUGGUGUUCGUGAAAUAUGUGCGAGCAGUGGCGAUCAAUGCUGAUAUGCUCAAUAGCCAACCGUCGACAACAAGCCGAUAAUUACCGCCCCUCGAGGCACACUGACCAAUAGGUCAUCGAACUGUAAGAAUACAAGUACCGAUCACUCAGGUCAAUUAAGAUGGAACAACUCAACAUCCUAUCGAAGAUAUGCAAGUAUCGACCACUCAAUGUCAACUAACAUCUAUAUACACAUGAACCGACCAAUAGGUCACCAGGAUGUCACAUCAUACAUCCGUAUAAUUCAGAACUAACCGUCAGCCACUAGCCGAUAAUCCUACCCCUUAGGAUAUACCGACCGUAUAGGUCAUCAAAUUAUUCAACCGACCAAGUAAAUCACAAUAAUGGAUGUAGUGAAUCAACCGAAUACGUCACUGGUACGAGAUACAAGAACCGAUCAACUAGGUCACGGAUCUCAAGCAAUCGUAAACCUGCUCUACUUCUACUCAUGAUACUAAACAGACAAGCAACCAAGUAGAGCAAUAAAGAGACAAGGUAUAGGUGCAAGGCUUUAUAUAUAUCAUGCAAUAUAACCAAUAAGGAAAGAGUGAAGGAAGUGUCACCGAGCGUGCACCACUAUACCAACUUCGGAUCGAAGUACCCACCUGUACGUACGUAGCACUGAUCUCCCGACUGCGAAAGAAAGUCAACCGGACCUACAAAGGGUCCACCGAGUUAGUAUCCAACCCACAUUCACGAACCACUAACUCACAAUCCCUACUAAUAAACCUACGAAAAUCGGUUUCCCAAAACAGAUUGCCGUAACACGCCGGGAGUCCCAAGAAUCGCGCCGGGGCUCCGCCGGGACCCACAAACUUUUUUGAUACUCACCGACUCGUUCUACAAGUCACCCGCUACCACUACACUCAACUAUUCGUGUGACAUGGAAGCAAACGCACAUCCUCCUUUCGAAACAAUUAUCGUCGGAUACUCGUUCCGAUCCGGGUUCCCAGAAAUGUCAAAUUCGACACCGGAACCCACCAUCGCUCACCCAUCAUUUCCGAACACUCGAAACGACACGGUUGACCAGCCAACAAGGCUCAGCGACAACAUGAUCAACCGUGAGGCACCGUCGGAAGAAUUCCGAAUCGAAAUCGCGUUCCGUCGGCGGAUUUCGCCGAAAAAUGCACCGAAAAUCAACAUCCGAUUUCCGAAAAGGCCUGGGGCCUUGGACAACCAGUCUAGAGGUCACCCACUAUCUGUACACACUACCCACAGCAGCCACAAAGUGACAAUUGCAUAAAAGCCCCCGCAAAUACAUAAAAUCACAUCAUUUUAUGUGAUUUUCGGAGUUUUACGGUCCGACGGCGAAAACUGAGGACCUACGAGCCUGGCAGAGACACUCUUUAAUAGGUCUCGAUGUGCCGGAGGCCGUGCUCACGAUUCGGAGCAUGGCCGACCACCGUGGAGAGCGCGGGAGCGAUGCGAAAAUCUGCGAACUGCACGCACAGCAUGAAAAACAUGCUUAUCUCGCAAACUAGGGGCUCGUUAACCCCAACGAAGGUGGCCAUAAUGAUCGGCACUGAUCAAGAACAUCGUGCUCACCAUCGGAAGCCUUGGGGUCGCCUCGGGUCAACCAAACAGUGACCCAAACCCGAGACAGUGCACGAAAUAGCUACAAUAUAGCUUACCGGACCAUGGGGAGCACAAGUUGGCCGGCGGCGGCCGGACGGCGGGCGCGCCGACAGGGGAUGGGUGCGGCCGGUCACGGGGGGCCAGGGCCCGCGUCAGCAGGCGACGGGAGGCGGCGACAACGGCGGAUAACAAUACCCUAGACGCACGAGAUCAAGGGAGGCUUCGGCUAGUUCCUGCCGGCAGAGAGCUCUGGCGGCGGGAGCGCCGGCGGCAGUCGGGUGCGGCUGGCCUAGGGGAGGCGGCGCGCGGGUCGACGGGCGACGGAAGGCGACGGCGGCGGCUCAAGAGCAACCCGAGCCCGUGCGGGCUCGGCUCGGGUUCAGUCGGUCACAGCGGCCAUCGCGGCGGUCGGGGAGCUAUGGGGCAAUGGCGGGGGAUCGCCUGAGGCUGGAUAAGUACCGUGGGAGUGGCUCCGAGCUACGGCGGCGGAGGGGGAGGACAGUGUGUAUAUAUAUGUGUGUGUGUGUGUGUGCGCGCGUGUGUGUGUAUGUGUGUAAAUACAAUAAACCUCCUUUUUCUCAAAAAUCGUGUAUCAGAUCUUAAAUCCGUCAGCGCCAUUGGGUUCAGUAUAGUCGAACCAUUGAAAACGAGCUAUUGGAGUGCUAUGAACGGAGUCCGAUACGCACCAGAAGCCAUCUCUACUGAUCGGCUUCUUCGAAAAACCGGAGUUACUAUUCACUUAAGUGAAAACUAAAGAUCGCAUAACUUCUCCAUCUUAACUCAUUUUCUCCUAAAACUUGACGAAUAUUUAUGUAAUUAAAUUACACACAAAAACAUUAUGAACACAGAGUUUAUCUAUACAGCAAAAAUCUCAGUCCUUACAGAACUCCCCCAAUGUUAUAUUCUUUAUUGUAAAAUGGAAAAUCAUGCAUAUUCAUGUUAGAUAGAGCAUAUGUAAAUUUUAGAAUGCUUAAAAUGCAUAUGUUAUGUAUCAUAAAAUUUUAUCACUAUGUAGUAGAGAGAUAAGUACAUAGUAAUCAUGCAAGUGAAUGGCAUUCUUUUAUGUGACUUGGAAUCAUGUUUCAUAUAGUGAAAAUGACAAGAAUAACAUGCUCUUGAAUAUAGAACUCAUGUUUGACAUAGUGUACAUUAAUGUCAUAAAGUGGCAUGCAUCUUAGUGAAUGGUGAAAUUCUUACUUAAUGACAUAGUGAUAGGCUAUUGGGACAUUAGCCUUUAUAACAUGUUUUAGACACGAUGACAUUAGAUUUGAGACGGAUUACUACGCUUGCUUGCUAUUGUGCUCAUUCGCAUAUGCUUAUGAGGGUCGCUCCUCACAAGCCGGCACUUCCGAGAUGCCCGUGCGGGAUUGGGCGCCGAAAUGGAAUGCCGUGGGGGAGGUUUAUUCCUAGAGUUGGAAUGUUGACUACCACGGGGCCAUUAGGCAUGGCGCAAGCUAGACUACCAUGUAUAGGUCCUUUACGAUUGAAACAAUGUUGAACUAAAAUGCAAUGUGGAUAUUAUACUAGACGUAAAUGUAGACAUCCUACUAGUUGUAUUUGUGGACAUCAUGCUAUUUAUAUACAUGUUCAUUUAUGUUAGAAUAACUCUUAUAAAUGUGAAAUUCAUGCUAAGUAGAGGCAUAGUACUUUAGUAAAAUUUAUUACAUGCCCAUUAUACAUGUUGUUUAUUUCCGCUAAAAGUUAAAUUUCACUACUUAUGCUUCCAUAACCUAGUGGUGUAUUUCGCCGAUAUUGGCGGCUUACCCACUGGGAACUAUUGAUUAAUGGUUCGCACGCCCUCUGUUUUGUUGUUUUUGUUACAGACCUUCCACUCCGGGAGAGGCUAGGGACCGCGGCAAGGGUGUCGCCUCUAGCUAGUUAGCGAGGAGCUUGCUUUUAGGUGGUUCAUCUUUCCUUUUGUUUUUGUUGGAGAGAGUGAGAGUUUUUUUACCUUUUGUGUAGAGACCACCAUUUUUAUAUAUUUAGUACCUUAUAUUUGGAAUCUUGUUGUAUCUACAUGAUGGAUUAUGUUAGUUGUUUAAUUCUUUUAUUUUCACUUGUCAUUAGAAUUUAGUUGUAUUCACGCUCUGAUAUUUCUAGAUGCUUGUUACUUCUAUUUUAUUUAUCGCUUUGUUGUUGACGCCUUAUAUGUUGUAAGCAUAUGGCAGGUCUGGACACGCACAGGGUGAGUUUCUGCUGGGUCUCGAGGUGUUACAGAUUAUAUUGGUAUCAGAGCCUAGGGUUGAGUCUCAGUGGACGUAGUAAAUUUUAGACCGAUUGGACUAUAGGAAAUAGGCUCGUGAGAGACGGGGUCUAUUUGACUUCUAAACGAAAGUAUUAUGAUUGGGUUUUAUGAUAACUCUAAAAAUGUCGUAGUUUAAUUGAAGUGUAUAGCUUCUAACUUCGCGGAGGAUUACGUUGGUAGAUGACAAUAUAACAUCGGGAGUUAGUAGUGAGGCACAUUUCAUUACUUUCGCAUGAUUUGGGGUAUUGUUUUCUUCGAAUGGGGUUGCGAUAGCGUGAGUUUUACUAACUUGUGCUUUUAUAUUGUUGUAGUGAUCAUGCCGACUACUCACUCUAAAUCUGUUGGAGAGGACAAUGCGGCGAAUUUUGAGGAGGUGGAGACCUCCGCUACCUCCGGAUCUGUAACAUACCAGAUUUGGUAUAAAAAUAAAAAUAAAUAAAAAUAGUGUGAGAAAUUAUUUUUAUAGAAUUUAUAGAAGUAAAAUAUAAGUCAGAAAUGACUUGUGCUGAAAUCGGAAUGAAAACAGAAGAUCUAGAAUUUUCUGUUAGAAACGGGACAGAUAAAUUAGCAGAAAAUGCAUAGUCUCAAAAAAUUAAGAAAAUUGGAGGAUAAGUCAGAAAUAUUUUUAUGAGGCUAGAUUUAAAGUUUCAUAUUUUUCUGACACCCGUAGAGUAAGAAAUAAAAUCCGAUAGUUAUCUGAUAAAGAUUACAGUUCGGUACAGUUUUCGGUGACCAAAUGGGGUCGAAACUGAAAAAUUAAAAUAUAUUCUUACUCAGUACGUUAAACUGAGCCUGCCUGUUAAAUUUGAGCUCAAACGGACAUUCAGAAGGGCUCCAACUGUUACGAACUGCUAAACUGCCUGGAGUGAAUAAUGUUUUGGGGUGUUAAUUAUAAAAGAAGCUAAUUAGCUUCUUCUUCCUCCUUCAGCCGAGCACCAACAUCACACGCAGGCAUGGGAGAGGGAAAGAGAAACUCUCCUUUCUCUCUCUAGAGAUCUCUCAUCUCUCUAUAUCUCUCGCUCAAAUUCGCGGCGUUAGCGGAGAAGAUGCUCGCGAACGCGUUGGGAGCGACAGAUCGAGCUUUCGUGCGCCCGUUGGAGUGGCGUGUUUUCGUCGCGACGUUCACAAUGUGGUAAGCUUUUGGGAUUUGGCUUAAUCCUUCACAUUAAGUGUUCUAAUAGCCUCUAAUGAGCUUUGUUAGCAUAUUGCUAUAUUUAAUUUGGGUUAAUUGGAGGUUAAUUCAUGUUAGGGCUCAAAAAUAGAGUUUUGUAAAAUAUGGGGGUUUGAUCUAAUUUGACCCUUCGUAAACCUAAUUGCUAGGUAAACGAACGCGUUGACGAAAUCGGUUCGGCGAUUCGUCGAGCCGUUGUAAAGUUAUUAAAGAAACGGACAUUUAGGCUUCGUUUUCGCCUGGAGGGCCGAGGCGACAUCGUAAACCCAUGAAAACGGAUUUGAAGUAUCAUGGCACAUAACCGAAGACCUUUAAUUUUCGGAUCGUGAAUUGGAGGCCGUUCGGAUAGUCGCGCGAGAGAUCGGGCCAAACCGGGUGCCGGGUGCCGCGGGAGGCCGAUUGCAAGUGUCGACAAGCAAUCGGAAUACGAAAUGAGGUGGGUUGUACUUACCGAGACGACUAGGUCGCCUAUAUGUCUAAGUAAAGUGAAUUUGUGUUGAUACAUAUAAAUGCCAGUUAAACUCAUAUGAUUAAUACUUUGAUUGCAUAAGAUAAAGGGCAUAUGAAUGUUAACAUUAUAAAAAUAUGCUAAAAGGAAUGCAUAAUGAUAUGUUGUAGAACAUGCUAGAUGGAUGCAUGUAGUAAAUACUAAAAGGAAUGCAUGCUAAUGAUAUAAUAUAGAAAUGCUAGAAUGCAUUAAUGAUGUGGUAUAGAAAUGCUAAAAUAUAUGCAUUGGUUAAUGUUAGUUGGAUGCAUGUCAUGGAAAUGCUAAAUGUAAGCAUGUGGCUAAUACUAAGAUAUACUUGAUAAUCAUGUUGUAGAGAUACUAAUAUUAAGAAAUGGAAAUGUGCAUAUGGACAAUCUAUAUACAUAGAUCGAGUGGCAUUAAACCUAGAGUCAUGGACAUAGGUUGAACAUGGAUGAUAUGAACCUAGUGUCAAAGAACAUAGGUUGGACAUCAAGUGGCAUUAAACCUAGUAUCUUCAACAUAGGUUGAACAAGUAUAGUGUGAACCUAGUGUCAUGAACCUAGCAAACACUUAUGGUAUUUGAGCAUACAUAUUUUGUAUCAUUCAUGCUGGAUAGGACUAAGUACAUGUGAACCUUGGUUCCUUUCAAUGACAUGUUCUAACGUAGUUGAACAUAGAGAAUGGUAGAACCAUAAUGGACAUGUAUAUUAGGAUCCUAUAAUUGUGUGAAUAUGAAAGUUGGACUUGGAUAUAGUAAACAAAGGUGACAUUGACAAUAGAGACAUUGAUUUGCAUAGAGAACUUAGUUGUUAAACAUAGUUUAACCAAGAGUGGCAUUGGACCAAGAUGACAUAGAGAGUGGCAUGAUUAAAUAGGUAGAAACCUAUUAUGACAUUAGCAUUGUGACAAGUGGCUACGAAUCCUCAAGUUGAGGAUUGGAUCGAUACUCACGAUAAGUCUUGGCUUGAGGGAGGUAGCUCCCCCUCGGGCGGUGUGCUCCGGAGUUGGCCACCACUGGGCAUGGUAAAGUCCCCCCAGAAGACGGUCCCUAGGGAGGUUCGAGUCCUCCGUUAUUAAGGGAUUUUGAGUUGUGAGUUCGAGGGGAACUCGGUGAACCUCGAUGCAAUUGGGUAAAAGCCAAGUGAAUGUACAUUAAGCGUUAUGAGCUAUAGAUUGAGUAUCCCUGUCGAGUGGAUUUGGGGCUGAGGUGUAUGUGAGACGUCCAUUACCUCGAGCCUGGUAUUGGUGCGGUAUUCCGCAGUUGAUUGACUCGCGACCGAGUCGGGUGGUUAGCUUUAGCUAGGGUAGAGGAAAAUCUUAGAAGCAAGUAACCAAUGAUUGUAAAGUGACAAGAUGUAUAAAAUUAUGGCUAAGCUAUGAAUAGCAUGAUAGAAAGUAAAAUCCUUCAUUCUACUUGUAUAGUUGCAUGAUUCGCAUAUAACAUGUCAUUAUUGCAUUCGUGAGGCAAGGCAUGGUUUUAUUAGUUGCAUAAUAAAGAUAUAUAUCUAUCUGUUUAUUGAACUAACUUGCAGUUACCUCUCUUGGACCUAUUGGUCGAGCUUUUUCCUUGGGUGGCCGUACCCACUGGGAACCAUGGAGUUGGUUCUCACCCCACGUUGUUUUGGGGUGUUACAGGUUCACACGUGAGUGGCGCGGCGCCGCGAGGCGAGGGCGUAGCUCCAUAGUUAGCGCCCUACUACCGAGACCAGAGAUAGCGGUACCCUGAGUCGGCCUUUACUUAGGGAUGUAAGAAAAUGAAAAGAAUCAAAUUGUAAUAAUUUGUAAUAAAAGCUUGAUUGUAUUUGGAAGUUAAAUGUAAUAAGUAAUUGUGAUGUAAAUUGUAUCUAGUGAAUGCGAAUGCUUGUAAUAGCAAGUAAAUUAUAUUUUUGAUACUUCCUUAUGCAAUCUUUGAUUGAAAUGUGUUCCUGGUUGGAACUUUAUACAUUGUAUUGAUUGUGACGCCUUGAAUGUACAGGGGAGACUCUGUUCGCGGUAUAGGAAAAACCCUUUCCGUUCGGCGGUCUGUCGGCGGCGCCGCGACCCGGCCAAAUAGACGGGUGGUCGCGGGGCGUGACAGGAUCUAGUGAGGUCCGUGAGUUGCGGACCCAGCUUGCGGUCCUUACUGACUUGGUUACUCACCAAGCGGCGGCGGCUCAGCAGCAAGCCGAUGCGGCGCGCCGACAUGAGGCGCGGAUGAAGCGAUUGGAGGAUCUUCUACUUCAGCAGUCAGCUAGUAGGGAGGCACGGAAUCCCUCACCACCCGCGCUAGUAGAAGAUGUAGCACCAAGGGCGCCGCCUCCCGCGCUUGGUACUUGGCGAGCGGCACCUUUGGUUGAGCCUCGGGAGAAGGUUGUUGCGGCACCACCGGUUCAGGUGCCUCCGGCGGGGUAGUUUUUUCCGUGAUGGUUGCUGGAGAAGAGCGGGACCGGCUCAUGGAUCGCCUCAACGAGUUUAGGAGGUGCAAUCCCCUGAUCUUUGAUGAAGAGAAGGCCGACCACUGGUGUCACAGCCCCCGACCCGCCUCUUUGGUCGGGUUUGGGCCGCCAACAGACUGCCGAACGGACAGAGUCUCGCCUGUACGUUCUAGGCGUCGCAACAGUACAAUACAGGAGGUUCCAAAACAUGAACAAUAUUCAUACACUGAUUGCAUAAGGAAGGUAUCAAACAAUAUAAAUGCAAACUAUACUAUUACAAGCAUUCACAUACAUGCAUUUUUACAUAUUACAUUCCACUUCUAAAUACAAUCAUUGAUUUCAAAUUAUUACAAGUUUGAUCUUUCUAUUUCAACCCCUAAGCUAGACUACUACGGGUGUCACGUCCCGAGCCCGAUCCUAUUGGUCGGUUCGAGAGCGUCAAACAGACGCCGAACGGACAGAGCCUCCCCUGUCUGCCCAAGGCUCAACACAGGUACAGAUAGAAUAUAAAGUUUGCAUAAGCGGAAGUAUACACAAUGGCUUGCACGAGGGCAAGUAAUAGCCAAAGUGAAAGUACUAACUAUCAACAUACAAGUAACAUGAUUAAUUUAAAUCACAUACAUGCAUCCAACUUUAAUCAAGUUCUUUUACAUUCUUGGAUCUUUUUUUUUCUCUUUUACAUCUCAUAUUUCUCAAAAUAUAACUAUUUGCAUUUAACAUAAAUAUCCUUUACAUCAUUCAUUUAAAUAUGUUCAUGAUACUAAAAUCGUCAAAUUCAAAAGAUGAUAGUAAAGGGAAUGCAACUACAAAAUAUGAAACCAUCUCGGGCGGUCUCUAACUAGGGCGCGAUGCCCUUACCGCGAUCAUCCGCCGGCUCGCUCGGUCCGGGCUCUGUUAAAAAUGGGGUGUGAGAAUUACAACAAAGUUCCCAGUGAUUUUGGCAACAAACCACACCGACUUUCCCACUAGGUCUAAAUUAGGCAUAAUAGAAGAAAAUAGAUAUAGAUAGUAACCAAACUAUACAAAUGCAGCUAAUAUGUCUGAACAAUAAUAAAUGUGAUGCUUAAUAGUAUGCUCAUGUUGAAUGUAAGGUCACAAUCUCAUUACCCAAUCUCUUGGCUAACCCGUAGGUUUCGCCCUCAACGACUCACCAACCAAAUCCCUAAUAUCGGUGAGAUACCCACUACAACCCGACGGGACCGUCCUCUGGGGAGAUACUCGCUACGACCCAGUGAUGACAACUCCGGAGCACAUUGCCCGAGGGGGAGCUACUACCCUCGAGCAAGGACUUACAAGUGAGUAUGAUCCCAUCCUUAACUAUGAGGAUGUCAAGUCCAAUCCAUUCCUUGACUACAAGGAAACAAUGCACAUAUGACCCUUAACUCUAAAGUUGUUAUGUCAUAAUGUCGCUACGUUUAUUUACUUGCAUUCUUUAAUCUUUUUCUAGUGUCAUAUACAGUACUUUGUUCUUAUACUCAAUCAUUGAUUCCACACUUAUUUUCUAAGUGUCCACUCUAGCAUAUCUUGACUCAUCGAUGCCACUUUCUACAAUUAUGUCAACAUGUCAUUUUAUUCUCUAAAGCUACUAAGUUCUUAUCAUUUCUCAUGCAUACAUAGGAUAAACAAAUUUCUCACAUUCUUACAAAUAUUUCACAUGCAUUUAAACUCACAACAUGCAAAUAAAAGCUUGCAAUUACCCUACUAUGCAAUAUGCUUAAUAUACAUACAUAUGAUCAAAUGUGACACUUUAGACAUAUAGCCUCCGUUUGGUUCGGGGUUAAGAAAAAAGUAGCUAUUCCAGGGAUAGAGUUAAGUUCACGGUUAAAGUGGGGUUAAAGUUUUUUUGUGUUUGGUUGGGGGUUGGAGUUAGUCUAGAAUAAUGAAAAAUAGUGUUUGGUUGGAGUAGGUGGGAUAAAAGGAUAAUGAUUGAUAAAGAAGGAUAAUGAUUGGUUGGAGUAGGUGUGAUAAGAAAGAUAGUGGGUUAUUAUGAAUAGAAAAUAGUGUUUGGUUGGAGUUUGGUAGGGUUAGGUUGGGUUAGCUAACCCGGGAUAAUUUAUUUGAGGUGGGGUUAGCUAACCCCACCCAUUUUUUGGGGUGUUUGGGGAUAAUAUGGGGGUUAAGGGGUUAUUCCACCCCUUAACCCCCAAUCAAACAAGGGCAAAGGAAUUUUGAGGUCCUUGGAAUGUACCACCCACCUUAGAAGGUUGAGAGGAUACUACGGUGAAUUUCUUGAAAUUUUUGAAGCUUUACUUUUUCGCCGCGGCAAAACGAAGCCGAAUUAUGCUUUUUAUCAAUAACUCCAUCUAAACCUUUUCGUAACGUUAAACGGAGUUGUCCCACGCGUCGGGAAUACUCCCAAUUAGAUUUCUAUAAGGUCAAUUUGCCUUAGAAACACUCGGAGGCAAAAGCCCAAAAUUUGGUGCCCUAAUGCCACUAUUAGCAAACUCAUAGGUUUUGAUAUCUAAAACAAGCAAAAGAGAGUUUGUCUAGCCUCUAGGAGCUCAUCUAAGGCCAAUUAAGCCAUUUCUAGGGCAUCCAAGAUGAACCCUAGAAGUUCACCAUGAGAGGACCUUGAGCUUCCAUGGAUUUCUUGGAGUUCAAGCCACUAGAGGAGUUCUAAACAUAGGAGAAGCUCCAAAACCUAAGUUCUUUUGUAGAAAUCCAAACCAUAGUUGAGCUUUUGCAUAAACUCACCUUAGCCACAAGCUAUCCCAAGUCCUCCUUGUAGGAGAGCUUCUAGUGCCUUCAAAUCCACCAAGACCUCCUCUCCAAGCUUCUUUUUCACCUCUUCUUAGCUCUAGGGCUUGGUUUUAGAGAGAGAAAGAGAGAAAUGAGAGGGGAGAGGGUGAAGUGGCUGUGGGAGAGAAAGAGAAGGAUGUUUGGGGUGUUAACAUCUUGUAACAAUAGCCAAAAAGCCCUCCAAACAUUUGUAUUUGUAGCAUUUUUAUUUUGCUGUCAGACCCAAAGUGUACCGAUACACUGUAGCUGUCACCGGUAACAUGAUUACGCAGAGGCAAACCCGAGAGCAAUUCUCGCAGGUUUUUUCAAAGUGUACCGGUACACUGUAGCUAUCACCGAUAACACAGGCAAAAUUUUCUCAAAUCCGAGAGCUUUUCUUUCUCGGCCUGCAAUGUUGUACUGGUGACAACUUGAUGGUUUUACCGGUACACUUUGCUCCAGAAUGUAAUUUUGCGCUGUUUUCGAUUCUGUUUCGCGCCGUUCGAUGCUAAAACCUUUUUAACACCUCUUAAACUCAUUUUUAGCCCUUUUAACCUCGUUGGAAUGCUAAUUGAAACUUGUUCAUCUAUUUUUUUCGCAUUAUUCACUUUUAAAUCGCGCCGAGCAAUACUAAAACUUGCUCAACACUCUCGGGACUCGACUUUGAUCCUUCCAACAUUGUUAGCAUGUCAACUAGAGUUUGUCCAUCCAUUUCUCUCGGCACUUUAAUUCAUUUUGGCUAAAGUUCGAUACGUUACAUUCUCCACCCCUUAAAAUUAGUUUCGUCCGCGAAACUUUCUUAAUUUAAACUUAAACUCAUACCUUAAUUCAACUCAGUGAAGAGAUGAGGAUAAUGCUCCCGCAUUGCGCUCUCGAGCUCCCAAGUAGCUUCCCGGUCAUCGUGGUUACUCCAACGAAUUUUAACAUACGGAAUCUCACGGUUCCGUAGUUUUCUCACCUCUUGGUCGAUAAUGUACGCCGGGAACUCCUCGUAGGUCAUGUCCUCCUGAAUCUCGAACGGCUCAAAUGACAGGAUAUGCUCGGGGUCAUGAAUGUACUUGCGGAGAUUCGAUACAUGGAACACGUCGUGUACUCCCGCAAGCCUUGGUGGUAAUGCUAUUUUGUACGCCACCGCACCGACCCGCUCCAAUACUUCGAACGGUCCAAGGUACUGGGGACUUAGCUUUUCACGGAGUCCAAACCGUCUAAUUCCUCGCAUCGGCGAUACUUUUAGAAAGACGUGGUCGCCAACUGCAAACUCUAUGUCUUUUCUCCGUUUGUCGGCAUAACUCUUUUGCCGAGAUUGCGCCGUAGUAAGUCUUUGGCGGGCAAGACAAACUUUCUGGGUGCUCCUUUUGAGUGUCCACCAUUGUCGCCAAAUAGGCCACACACCCGCCUUUAAUCAUUUUCCUCACCCUCGCCGCCAAUACGGUCGUCGUGAAGCGCCUACUUUUACACGCCCGAUAUACUAACUCUUCUUGAUUAGGCUCACGGAACGUGAUCAUCUUGCUUUCACAAUCUAUUACGUCAUAAUACUUGGAGAGCCAAUUGAUCCCAAGAUUACGUCAAAGCCCCACAGUUGGUUUAAUACCAAUAUGUCGAUCGGCAUGAUCCAAUCGCCUAUCUGAACCGGACAAUCCAAACACUCGUCAUGUACAUAGAAUGAAUGUCCAGGUGUAUUCACCGUCCAAUAAUCUUCAUUAUGUGUGACCUCUAUAUCAUGAGCUAGUGCAAAGGAUGCCGAUAUGCAUGAAUGCGAUGCACCUAUGUUGAAUAAAGCUCUAGCUCUAGUGCCUCUGAUUAAGAUAAUACCUGCCACGACGUCGUCGGGAACUGGAAUCGGCUCCUUCACCUGAGUGGCAAAAGCCCGCCCACUCGGUGCUCUAGACGCCUCCAGCUGACGUGAUGAAGAUGAGCAUCCAGCUGACACAGCCGGUGGUAACCUCGCAAGCUGUCUCGGAGUAGAUGGAACUGACGCCGCUAUCGGUGCAGACGACCCCCAAUUCGGGCACUCCCGUGAUAUAUGCCCGGGCUGGCCGCACUUAAAGCACUUUCCCUCGUGCUGCAGGCAUACCGGCGGUCGAUGGUCACCGCCGCAAAUAGCACAACGGAGAGGCCCCCAACUCUUCGACUGCUGCCGGGGAUACCGAGAGGGUUUCUUUGCAUUCAGCCGACCCCCGAUGCCACCCGCCGCCCGCUUCUUGCUCUUGCCAUUGCCCUUUGCCUCGGCUGCGGACUCACGCUCCUGACGCUCGUGGGCAUAGCCAUGCUCCGCCCACAAGGCUCGAUCAAAGACCUCCACAAAAGCCGUUAGCUUGAGGAUUUGCACGGCCCUAUGAAUCCCCGGCCGAAGUCAUCGCAAGAACCAAUCAGCCCGGUCCCGAUCAUGAUGAACAACCUUCGGGACAAUCGAUAAGGUGGGAGAACUCCUGCUCAUAGUCCGCCACGGAGCGUUCCCCUUGCCUCAACUUGCGGAAUUUUUCUUGCAACUUCUGCUUCAUCGUGUCGGGGAAGUAAUUGGCGAACACCGCCCUCCGGAACUCCUCCCACAACAUAGGCGGAAGAUCGGGUGAUUGAUCCCGCCUAACACGCUUCCACUACACUUUCGCCGCCUUCUCAAGGCAAUGUGUGGAGAGAUACACCUUGUCCUUCUCCGAGAUAUGCAAGUCCUCGAAGAGCGUCUCUAUGGAGUCAAUCCAUGACUCCACCGCCGCCGGUUCCACCACUCUCCUUUCGAAUAUAGGUGGGUUGAACUUGUUGAACUGAAUGAGAGCCGCCAACGCGCGCUCUCGCUCCGCCUCUUCCGCCGCACUAUCGGGGUUUGAGGUCCCCGAUCCUGCCAGCACCAUCGUAACUAGCACGGCCGCCGCGGCCACACCCUCGGCCGUACUCGGCACCACUGCAGGAGGCACAGGGUGCACGGCCUCCACGGGCGCCGCCGCUACCGCCUGCUGCCGCUCCAAGGCCUCCUGGAGCCUUUGGGUUUGCUCCCCUUGGCGCUGAACGGAUUCCGCCUGCUGCCACACUACUCCAAUAAGCGUGGCCAUCUGCUCCUGAAGCUCCCCAUCGCCACCUUCUCCGGGUUGCAAGGGAGCCGCACUUGGCUCCUCGGCCAUAGACCUUGUCCGCGGUCGACCACGAGGCAACUUAGGUCCUCCACGAGGCGGCAUUGCUUCCUGAAACGAAGCAAUUCACGUUAGUUACUUAGACAAUAUACUCGAUUAUACCCAAUCCGGCGAAAGCAUACAAGUGCAUUUAUUUUCCUUCCAAAGCAUCAUGUCGUCGGCUGCCGAUCACAACACAAGAAAAAGAAAAGAAAUAACAACUUAAAUUUAGCCCCUAACCACAUUAGAGACAUAUUAACAUUAACCCAAUCAAAAGCUUUCGCUAUAGUUUUGAUUUCACGUCGUUCACGUUUCCUAGAUCCUUAAGGUUUUCCAUUCCUAAGCGUCUCUAGGUCCAUCCUAUACUUUCACCUUUUGGCUCUUUACGCUCUGAUACCAUUAUAUCUGCCACGCCCCGAGCACGAUCCUUUUGGUCGAUUUGAGAGCGUUAAACAGACGCCGAAUGGACAGAGCCUCCCUUGUCCGGCCAAGGCUCAACAUAGGUACAGAUAGAGUAUAAAGCUUGCAUAAGCGGAAGCAUACACAAUAGCUUGCACGAGGGCAAGCAAUAGCCAAAGCGAAAGUACUAACUAUCAACAUACAAGUAACAUGAUUAAUUUAAAUCACAUACAUGCAUCCAAUUUUAAUCAAGUUCUUUCACAUUCUUGCAUCUUUUUUUUUUCUCUUUUACAUCUCAUAUUCCUCAAAAUAUAACCAUUUGCAUUUAAAAUAAAUAUCCUUUACAUCAUUCAUUUAAACAUGUUCAUGAUACUAAAAUCAUUAAAUACAAAAGAUGAUAGUAAAGGGAAUGCAACUACAAAAUAUAAAACCAUCUCGGGCGGUCUCUAACUAGGGCACGAUGCCCUUACCGCGAUCAUCCGCCGGCUCGCUCGGUCCGGGCUCUGUGAAAAAUAGGGUGUGAGAACUAUAAUAAAGUUCCCAGUGGGUUCGGCAACCAACCACACCGACAUUCCCACUAGGUCUAAAUCAGGAAUAAUAGAAGAAAAUAGAUAUAGAUAGUAACCAAACUAUACAAAUACAGCUAAUAUGUCUGAACAAUAAUAAAUGUGAUGCUCAAUAGUAUGCUCAUGUUGAAUGCAAGGUCACAAUCUCAUUAUCCAAUCUCUUGGCUAACCCGUAGGUUUCGCCCUUAACGACUUACCAAACAAAUACCUAAUAUCGGGAAGAUACCCGCUACAACCCGACGGGAUCGUCCUCUGGGGAGAUACUCGCUACGACCCAGUGAUGACAACUCCGGAGCACAUCGCCCAAGGGGGAGCUACCACCCUCGAGCAAGGACUUACAGGUGAGUAUGAUGCCAUCCUUAACUAUAAGGAUGUCAAGUCCAAUCCAUUCCUUGACUACAAGGAAACAAUGCACAUAUGACCCUUAACUCUAAGGUUGUUAUGUCAUAAUGUCGCUACCUCUAUUUAUUUGCAUUCUUUAAUCUUUUUCUAGUGUCAUAUACACUACUUUGUUCUUAUACUCAAUCAUUGAUUGCACACUUGUUUUCUAAGUGUCCACUCUAGCAUAUUUUGACUCAUCGAUGCCACUUUCUACAAUUAUGUCGACAUGUCACUUUUAUUCUCUAAAGCUACUAAGUUCUUGUCAUUUCUCAUACAUACAUAGGGUAAAUAAAUUUCUCACAUUCUUACAAAUAUUUCACAUACAUUUAAACUCACAACAUGCAAAUAGAAGCUUACAAUUACCCUACUAUGCAAUAUGCUCAAUAUACAUACAUAUGCUCAAAUGUGACACUUUAGACAUAAAAGGAAUUUCGAGGUCCUUGGAAUGCAUUAUCCACCUUAGAAGGCUGAGAGGAUGCUACGGUGAAUUUUUUAGAAUUUUUGAAGCUUUACUUUUUCGCCUGUGGCAAAACGAAACCGAAUUAGGCUUUUUAUCAAUAACUCCAUCUAAACCUUUUCGUAACGUUAAACAGAGUUCUCCCACGCGUCGGGAAUACCCCUAAUUAGGUUUCUACAUGGUCAAUUUGUCUUAGAAACACUCAGAGGCAAAAGUCCAAAAUUUAGUGCCCUAAUGCCACUAUUAGCAAACUCAUAGGUUUUGAUCUCUAAAACAAGCAAAAGAGAGCUUAUCUAGCCUCUAGGAGCUCAUCAAAGGCCAACUAAGCCAUUUCUAGGCCAUCCAAAAUGAACCCUAGAAGUUCACCAUGAGUGGACCUUGAGCUUCCAUGGAUUUCAUAGAGUUCAAGCCUCUAGAGGAGUUCUAAACAUAGGAGAAGCUCCAAAACCUAAGUUCUUUGGUAGAAAUCCAAACUAUAGUUGAGCUUUUGCAUAAACUCACCUUAGCCACAAGCUAUCCCCACGUCCUCCUUGUAGGAGAGCUUCUAGUGCCUUCAAAUCCACCAAGACUUCAUCUCCAAGCUUCUUCUCCACCUCUUCUUAGCUCUAGGGCUCAGUUCUAGAGAGAGAAAGAGAGAAAUGAGAGGGGAGAGGGUGAAGUUGCUGUGGGAAAGUAAGAAAAUGGUGUUUGGGGUGUUAACAUGUUGUAACAAUAGCCAAAAAGCCCGCCAAACACUUGUAUUUGUAGCAAUUUUCAUUUUGCUAUCAGACCCAAAGUGUACCGGUACACUGUAGCUGUCAUUGGUAACACGAUUACGCAGAGGCAAACCCGAGAGCAAUUCUCGCAGGUUUUUCCAAAGUGUACCGGUACACUAUAGCUGUCACCGGUAACACAGGCAAAAUUUUCUCAAAUCCGAGAGCUUUUCCUUCUCGGCCUGUAAUGCUGUACCGGUGACAACUCGAUGGUUGUACCGGUACACUUUGCUCCAGAAUGCAAUUUUGCACCGUUUUCGAUUCUGUUUCGCGCCGUUCGAUGCUAAAACCUUUCUAACACCUAUUAAACUUAUUUUGAGCCCUUCCAACCUUGUUGGAAUGCUAAUUGGAACUUGUUCAUCUAUUUCUUUCCAAUUAUUCACUUUUAAAUCGCGCCGAGCAAUGCUAAAACUUGCUUAACACUCUCGGGACUCGACUUUGACCCUUCCAACAUUGUUUGCAUGUCAACUGGAGUUUGUCCAUCCAUUUCUCUCAGCACUUUAAUCCAUUUUCGCUAAAGUUCGAUACGUUACAUCGGGAUACCGUUAUCUCUGGUCACAAUGGUAGGGCGCUAUCUACGGAGCUACGCCCUUUUCUCACGCCACCGCGCCGCUCGCGUGUGAACCUAAAAUCCCCCAAAACAACGUGGGGUGAGAACUAUAUCCAUAGUUUCCAAUGGGUACGGCCACCCAAGGGAGAAGCUCAACCCACUAGGUCUAAAGGAGGCACUGCAAUCAUGUUAGUCCAACAUAUAUCCACAAAUAUUUAUGCAAGCAAUAAAUAAAUGCGUAUACCUCAAGACAUGCAAUAUGCAAUUGUUUGCAGUAAAAUAAUACUUAUAUAGAUGAAACAAUUCUAAUCAUAAUAAAAAAAUAAUCAGAUUCGAGUUCAUACAGUCCUAAUAGUUCUCGUGUUAACCAUUAAAUUUUUGGGCCAAUAAUUAUAGUUCAAAUAUAUAAUAGGCCCGUUCAUAAAUGUGAGUUGGUAGGCCUCAUGAAAGCCCAUACAAAUAAAAGAAAAGGGGGGGGCGUCAUUCCAGCACAUUAAAUAUUAUCAUUUGGGCCCAAUAAAUUAAAGCGGGCCUGAUCAACGAUAGCCCACAUCCACAUCAUAUAAAAUAUCUGUUCGAAAUUCAAAUUCAAAUCACAACCCAUUCAAAAUUCAAUUUUUGAAUUUCGAAUUUCGAAUUCCCAACAAUUCCCAAAAUAUCAUCCAACAACCCAUUCGAAAUUUGAUUUCGAAUUUCGAAUUCCCAACCAAUUCCCAAAACAUCAUCCAACAACCCAUUCGAAAUUCGAUUUCGAAUUUCGAAUUCCCAACUAAUUUCCAAAACAUCCUCCAACAACCCAUUCAAAAUUUGAUUUCAAAUUUCGAAUUAAUCCUCAAAAUACCCUCCAACCAACCAACAACCCAGUCAAAAUUCGAUUUCGAAUUUUGAAUUCCCUAACCAAUUCCCAAAAUAUCAUCCAACAACCCAUUCGAAAUUCGAUUUCGAAUUUCGAAUUCACAACCAAUUUCCAAAACAUCCUCCAACAACCCAUUCAAAAUUUGAUUUCAAAUUUCGAAUCAAUCCUCAAAAUACCCACCAACCAUCCAACAACUCAUUCAAAAUUCGAUUUCGAAUUUUGAAUUUCCAACCAAUCCCAAAUAUCUUUCAACCAAUCACAACAACCUAUUCAAAAUUUAAUUUUGAAUUUCGAAUUCCUCAAAAUAUCUCUUACCACCCCUCCCAUUAUAAAUACGAGAAUCGAGAUCAAUAUGGGGGACGAUACGAUUUUACGGAGAAAAAAAAAAGAUAGAUUGCUACACACAUUCCCACGUACAAAAUAUUCAAAGAAGGAGAGAUCGCCGAGCCGCGGAAAGGAGGAGAGAUCACUUGAGCCGCGGAAAGGAGGAGAGAUCACCGAGCCUGUAACACACUGGACCUUUGCAAAUUGCGGGGUUCGAGUGUUUGGACAGUGUCCCGAGUUUUUCCAGACUUUCUGGUGGGUCGUUGACAGUGUUCCGACCUAUGGCUCGCAUCCCGAGAAUUGUAGUAUUUUAUGUAGCGCUAAGGUCACUAAAAAGUUGGACUUAGCCUACCCUCGGAUUGCUUUCAGCACAAAGUGUACCGGUACACUUGUGAUGGCUGUACCGGUACACACUUUGUACCGGUACGCGCUUGAUGGUUGUACCGGUACACUUGUGGCAGAUUACAAACCCGAGCCUCGGGUUUGCGUUUUCGUAGGAUGUGUACCGGUACACUUCCCCGUGUACCGGUACACUUUGGCAGAAUCUGAGCAGUUUGAACUGCAGGGGGUUUUUCGCAAUUGUGGACUUCUAUAUGUAUCCCCCACGCCCCUAGGGCUUCUCCUGAGCUUGGAGCAGCAGGAGAGAAGGUAGGGGAGCCCUCCUCUUCACCUCUUUCAUUUCUUUGGUUUUUGUUUGGAUUUUUAAGAGAUUAAACCCCUCUUUUGCCUCUUUUGUUUGAUUUGAGGCUUUUCCCCCUUUGAGGCUUGGUUUUGGGGCAAGAUUGAGGGAAGAUCCUUGGACUUGGAGAGUUUAAAGCUUGGAUUGAAGCUUCUAAGAGGUAAUCUACUUGCUCUCUCCCCCUAGAUAUGAAUUUUAUUGAUGAAUUCAAGAUCAAACCCUAGAAAUGAAAAUUUAGGGUUUAUUUGGGCAUUUUGCAUCUAGGGCCUUUGGAGCUAGAUUGAUUGGAUUAGAACCUUCCUUGGGCUUGGAUUGGAAGGAUUCUAGCUCUCUUUUGGAGCUUGAGAGAGAUUUUCCACUCACUAGGUGAGUUUUAGCCCUUUUGCUAAAAUUGUUAAAGUUUGAUCUUAUGAAUGAUCGUAAUGCCCGUGUAUCUUGUCGCUCAUUACUUUUAGGGUAAUUUGAGACUCGGGGACAACUUUGUUCGGCGAAUCGAGACCCUACGCGACGGUUCGGUGGGUUUGACCUAGCCUACAUAUGAGAAAUUCUCAUAUAUGGUUAUUUACGUUCCGUAAAUUGAAAAAGCAUGCAUGUUCAUAUCAAAUGUAUUUAUUAUGAUUUUUAGAAUGCUUGAAAUGCAUAUGUUAUAUAUGAUGAAAUUUUGGACCUCUAUGUAGUAGAGAGUUGCUUGGGAGAUCUUUGGUUGCAUUUGGCAUUCUCUAUGAGACUUGGUUUCAUGCUUCUAUAGUAUAAUGAGUUCGGAUUCAUGCAUUUAAACUUGAGGCUACUUGUGACAUGAAAGAUGACAAGAUUGCCAUUUAGGAGGUAAGUGAACUAGAGAGCUAAUGUCAUAAAGCGGUAUUGAGCUCGGGACAUGUGAGAACUUAGUGGAUAGGGCCAUUAAGGGAUUUGGAAUACAUAUCGAACAUCAAAUUGCCUAAGUGUCAUCAAGGGGCACUAGGCGUAGCAAAUGCUAAAACUUCACAUUGUGACUUAGACUAGAUCUUCGGGAUGCUAGCUAUGAUACCAUGUUAGAGACAUGAGGAUUGGAUAUUUGAGACUUGGACUACGCUUGCUUGCCAUUUGUGCUUAUUCGCACAUGCUUGUGAGGGUCGCUCCCUACAAGCCGGCACUCCGGAGUUAGCCUACGCGACUACGUUCGCUCGUGCGGUAUUGAGAAGCCUACGGGGCCGAGUGGGACAGACACAUUCCAAGAGUAGGGAUGUCGGGCUACCACAGGCACUUAGGCGGCACAAGCUGGACUACCUUCGGUAGGUCCUUAAUUGGAAAUGGAAAUCGACACGGUGUUGAAUAUGAACAAUCACUACUAGAUAGGAUUAGUAGUUGGAUUACUUGGACACGCUUAUGAUAUAGCAUUGGUACAUUUUGUAUACUUGCCGGUUUCAUUAUUGCAUCGUAGCAUACUCGGUUGUUUGGAUAAAGUUUACCCUUAUGCAUUGAUAUAUGGCAUCGUGAGGUUUACUUGCUUUUUAUGUUGAGACAUAUUAGUAUGCAUCGGAUAUAUAUCACCUUAUGAUAGCGUAGAUGUACAUUACCAUAAUAUCAUACUUAUUGGAGACAUAGUAGCAUAGCAUUUCAUUCAUGCUUCCUUCAGCAGUUUCGUGUUCGCUAUUUAUUGCUAUUAUUAUUGUACUUACCCUCUUCUUUUGGGGCCUAGUGGUGCAUUGAGCUGAGGUCAGUAAUUGCCCACUGGGAACUAUAAAUUAUAGUUCUCAUGCCCUCUUUUUCUCGAUGUUUUACAGAGCCUUCCACUCAGGGUGAGGCCAGGGAUCGCGGGAAGGGAGUUGCUUCGAGCUAGCUUCCUUCGAGGACGAGUUGCCAGGUGGUCUACCUCUCGAUUUUUGUUUCCUUUUGCGAGAGGUUGAGAGUUCUACCAGUGUAUUAGAGACCACCGUUUUUGUACUUUUGAGACAGAUAUUGUACUUCUUAUGACUUCUUUUAUUGUCUAGCUUUACUUCUUUACCUUGGUGUAGAUGUUAGAACUUUACUCGCUCUGAUAUCAUUAGCUGCUCAUUAUUUCACUCCUUCUAUUUGUUUUAUCUCUUGCUUUUACUUCCGCUUUUAUUGUAGACGCCUUAUAUGUGUAGACAUAUGGCGGGUCUGGGCACGCCACCGGGAGGGCCUCCGCCGGUCCCGGGGCGUGACAGAGCCGCAGAAAGAAGGAGAGAUCAGUCGAGCCGCUGAAAGGAGGAGAGAUCGCCGAGCCGCGGAAAAAAGGAGAGAUCGUUGAGCCGCAUCAUCCAAUCCAUCAACAGGUAGUAAAAAAGGAAAGAAAGAAAGAAAGAAAAUAAAACAAUAAUUGUAAUAUACCAGAUUUUGGUAUAAAAAUAAAAGUAAAUAAAAAUAGUGUGAGAUACUAUUUUUAUUUGGUUUUUGAGAAACAAAGUAUAAGUCUAUAAUGACUUGUGCUGAAAUCGGAAUGAAAACAGAAGAUUUAUAAUUUUCUGUUGAAAACGAGACAGAUAAAUUAGCAAAAAAUACAGAGUCUCAGAAAAUUAUGAAAAUUGGAGGAUAAGUCAGAAAUAUUUUUAUGAGGCUAGAUUUAAAGUUUCAUAUUUUUCUGACACCCGAAAAUUGAGAAAUAAAAUCCGAAAUCUAUCUGAUAAAGAUUAUAGUUCGGUACAGUUUUCGGUGACCAAACGGGGUCGAAACUGAAAACUUAAAGUAUAUUCUUGUUCGGUACGUUAAACUGAAUAUGACUGUCAAAUUUGAGCUCAAACGGAUACUCUGAGAGCUCCGGCGAAAGAUAUCAGAUUUUAAGUUGCCUGGAGUGAAUAGUGUUUUUGGAAGCUUCAUAGAAAACUUGGAGAGCAAGUUUUCUCUCUAUGUAUAUAUAGGACUUGGGCUUUCUUUCCUCUCAUUAUUCACACUCACAAGCAAAGAGAAAAAUCUCUCUCUACACCAAAGAGAUGAUUGGAGAAGAAAAGAAAGAAAAAUUGAAGCAAGCUUGGAGAAAAUUAGAGUAGCUUGAAGUUGAAGCUCUCUCUAAUGGUGGAAGCAAGCUUUCCAAUAGUGGAUUUAGCUUGAUGUGAAUGGUGGUCUAAGGUGAGAUCUCAUAAUUUAAGCUAGGAUUUGGUUUAAUCCUUAAUGCUUAGUGUUCCAAUAGCCUCUAAUGUGUUGAUUAGCAUGUUAAAUCCAUUUAAUUUGGGUUAAUUGGAGCAUGUGUAGAGGCUAGGUUUAUAAUGAUAGAUCUUAAGAGCUUUAAUUGUAUGCUCUAAGAAUGGAUUUAGAGGAAUCCUUAGAUGCUAAAUGGAUAACUAUUGCAUGAAUUAAGGGAUCAUAUGAUGAAUUCUUGCAAUAGUGUAUCUUAAGGCUCAAAAAUGAGAUUUUGUAAAAUAGUAGGGCUUGAUCUCAUUUGACCCUCCGUGAACCUAAUUGCUAGGUAAACGAACGCGUUGGCGAAGUCGGUUUGGCGAUUCGUCGAGCCGUUGCAAAGUUAUUAAAGAAACGGAUGUUUAGGCUUCGUUUCCGCCUGGAAGGCCGAGGCGACUUCCAAAAAUCAUGAGGUUGGAUCUGAAGCAUCGUGGUAGCAUGCCGAAGAGCUUCUGCACUUAAAACUGCGAAGCGGACGCUCUUGUAGCGCAACUGUAAGAUUGGGCCCUUAGCGGGUGCUGAGUGUCGCAGGUAGCGAACCGGGCGGCUAAAAAUCCCGAGAAAUUUAUCAUAGCACCUUAGAGGACCUACGAGGUGGGUGGUGCUUUCCAAACUCAUUGAAAUUCUCUCUAUGCCUAAUGUGUCAUUCUUUGAGCAUAUGUUCUAUAUAUUGUUGCAUGCAUUUUAGGGUAAAGUAAUGAUAAAAUGUGAUGAUUGCAUGAUUGUGAGCACAACUUGCAUAAUGAGAUGGUUGAGAACCUAAUAAUGUCAAAACCCUAGAUGUAUGCAUGAUAGAAAAUGUGAGCACCCAAAGUGAGCAAAAGAACAGAGUGACACUGUGACAUAGAUCGAGUGGCAUCUAAAUAAUGUAAAGUAAAGUGACACUAGAGUUAGUGUGAAGCAAAGAAUCGAAGUGAUAUAAAGAAUGAUGACGAUCACUAAAGCUAAAGCAAAGAGAGCAAUAAAGAACGUGUAAAGCUAAAGAAUGUGAUUGCUAGAGUUAGCAAAAAUAAAAGAAAUGCAAAGAGCAAUGAUUGCUAGAGUGGCAACAUAAAGUGAUGUAAAGAACACUAGAGCUAGUGUAAAGUCAAGAUUGAACUAUAAUCCUUUGAGUUAAGGAUAUGAUCAUACUUGCUGUUGAGUUCCGUGCUCGAGGGCGGUCGCUCCCCCUCGGGCGAUGCGCUCCGGAGUUAUGCAUCCGGGUUGGAGUAGACCCGUAAGGACGGUCCUAGCUGGUGAGUACCUGCGAUGAUGGACUUAACGUGAGGCAAGUUAAUGUGGCGAAACCCCCGGGUUAGCCUUGAGAUUAAAGAAUAAAGAAUAAAGAAUAAAGAGCAAAGAACAAAGAAUAAAGAACAAAGAGUAAAGUGAAAAGAACUAAAGAACAUGCAUAAUCUGCAUCUAUUAAUGUUGAGCAUAUUCCUUGCUUUUGUUCAGGCAUAUUAGCAUCAUGUUAUAGAUUGGUUACCAUAUUUCAGCUUAUCCUUUCUAUUAUGCCUGAGUUAGUCCUAGUGGGAAAGUCGGUGAUGUUGGGGCCGAACCCACUGGGAACUUUGUUGUAGUUCUCACCCCACUAUUCCACAGAGCCGGGACCGAGCGAGCCGGCGAGCGACCGCGGUAAAGGUAUCGCACCGUAGUCAGAGGCCACCGGAGUUGGGUUACAUUUUGUUAGUAGUUUACCCCUUUUAUCAUCUUUGUAUUUGAUGAUUUAAGAUGUUGAUAUAUAAAGCAAAGUAAAGAAAAGAAUGUAAUGUUCAUUUUGAGGUAAAUGUGAUGUAAAAGAAAUGAUGAAAGAAUGUAAAGAUUUUGGAUGUACAAGUUGGAUAGAUACAACGUAUGUGAUCAAAAUGAAUCAUAGUACUAGUUGAAUGUUUAGUUUUCCUUUCUUUCACUAAUGGCUAUUGCUUACCCUCGUGAAAGCCGUUUGUGCAUGUUUCCGCUAGUGCAUUUCAAUUCUCUUAAAAUUGUACACGUGAUGAGCCUUGGGCGGAUAGGGAAAACUCUGUCCGUUCGGCGUCUGUUCGACGUGCUCGGGCCGACCCAAAUUGGUAUCGGCUCCGGGGCGUGACAAUAAUAAAACACAAAAGAAAAUUCUCUUCUUCCCCCCUCCCUUUUUUUCUUUUUUGGUCCUGCUACCGUAGUCAUCCAUAUCGUCUUGAUGACUUCGAUGGGAGAGUGGAGGGGAGCCAAUGGCUUCCCGUUUCUUCGGACCUCUCAAUACCCCAUUCGAAAUUGUUGAGGAUGGAAUGGGUGAUCUACAUGGCCGCGACCACCCCAACAUCGAUGGUUUGAUACUUUCGAAAGAAGAGGGGAAGGGAAUUUUUGAUUCCCUGUUUCUUCGGACCCUUCAACAUUUUUUUGAAAAUAUCAAAUCAAAUUUGAUGGCCGAACAGAUCCACGUCACCGUCAUCAACUUCACCGACGACAUCUACAGCAUCGCCGGUUUGAUACUUUCGAAAGAAGAGCGGAGGGGAAUCUUUGAUUCCCCCUUUCUUCGGACCCUUCAACAUUUCUUCGAAAAUGUCAAAUCAAAUCCGACGGCCAAACAAAUCCGCACUACCGUCAUCAACUUCAUCGACAUCAUCUACAACACCGACGGUUUGAUGCUUUCGAAAGAAGAGGGGAGGGGAAUCUUUGAUUCCCUGUUUCUUCGGACCCGUCAACAUUUCUUCGAAAAUGUCAAAUCAAAUCCGAUGGCCGAAUAGAUCCACGCCACCGUCAUCAACUUCGUCGACGUCAUCUGUAGCCUCGCAAGAAAAGGGGAAGGGAAUCUUUGAUUCCCCGUUUCUUCGGACCCCAAAUCAAAAUUAAAACGGGGAUUUCUUCGGACCCCAAAUUGGAAUCAAAACGGGAAUUUCUUCGGACCCCAAAUCAGAACGAAACGGGGAUUUUUUCGGACCCCAAAUCAAAUUGAAAAAUCAAAUCCAAAUUAGAGAAUCAAACGGGAAUUUCUUCGGACCCCAAAUCAAAUCCAAUUGGAAUCAAAACGGAGAUUUUUUCGGACCCCAAAUCAGAACCAAACGGGGAUUUCUUCGGACCCCAAAUCAAAUUGGAAAAUCAAAUCCAAAUUAGAGAAUCAAACAGGGAUUUCUUCGGACCCCAAAUCAAAUCCAAUUGGAGAAUCAAAACGGCGAUUUCUUCGGACCCCAAAUCAGAACCAAACGGGGAUUUCAUCGGAUCCCAAAUCAAAUUGGAAAAUCAAAUCCAAAUUAGAGAAUCAAACGGGGAUUUCUUCGGACCCCAAAUCAAAUCCAAAUCAGAGAAUCAAACGGGGAUUUCUUCGGACCCCAAAUCAAAUCCAAAUCGAAAUCAAACGGGGAUUUCUUCGGACCCCAAAUCAAAUUGGAAAAUCUAUAAACAAUUGAAAAAUCAAAACGGAGAUUUAUUCAGACCCCAAACCCAAAUCGAGAUAAAAAGGGGAUUUCUUCGGACCCCAAAUCAAACCAAAAUCAAAGAGGGAUUUCUUCGGAUCCGAAUCAAGUUGCAAAAGAGGAUUGCCUCGAACCCGAAAUAGAAUUAAAAAGAAAAUCAAGUUCACAUAAGAAACCAAACCAAAUCCACAAAUAAACCCAAACCCAAUCCAAAUCAAGUUCACAUAAGAACCCAAACCAAAUCCACAAAUAAGCCCAAACCCAAUCCAAAUCAAGUCCACAUAAGAACCCAAACGAAAUCCACAAAUAAACCCAAACCCAAACCAAACCAAGUCCACAAAUAAACCCACAGAUAAACCCAAACUUGAACCCAAAUAAACCCAAACCCAAUCCAAAUCAAGUCCACAAAUAAACCCAAACUUGAACCCAAAUAAAAUCCGAACUCAAAUCCAAACCAAAUCAAAUCCAAACCUAAAACCAAAUACAGUCCACAAAUAAACCUAAACCAAAAACCCAAAUAAACCCAAACCCAAAACCUAAAUUAAAUCCGAACCCAAACCCGAAUCAAGUCCACAUCUAAACCUAACCCAAACCAAGUCCACAUAAAGAACCCAAACCCAACUCAAAUCAAGUCCACAAUCCAAAUCCAAACCCAAAACUGAAAUCCAACUUCUAACUUAGGCUCAUGAACCUAAACCAUACCUAAGUUUAUAAACCAAAUCCCAUAAGCCAAAACCAAGUUCAUGGAGCAAAUCCCAUGAACCAUAUACCAAACCUUAUGAACCAUGAACCAUAAACUAAAUCUCAUGGAUCAAAUCCCAUGAACCAUAUACCAAACCUUAUGAACCAUGAACCAUAAACUAAAUCUCAUGGAUCAAAUCCCAUGAACCAUAUACCAAACCUUAUGAACCAUGAACCAUAAACCAUGAACCAAGUCCAUGAACCAUAUCCAAGUUCAUGAACCAAAUCCCAUACACCAAACCUCAUGAACCAUAAACCACAACCCAAGCCCAUGGACCAAAUCCUAUAGCUUAUUCAAGUUCGUGAACCAAACACCACGAACCAUACCCAAGUCCCAUAAACCAUGAAUCAAGUUCGUGAACCAAACACCACGAACCAUACCCAAAUUCAUGAACCAUAAACCAAACCCUAUGAACCAUACACCAAAUUCAUGAACCAUGAACCAAAUCCAUAAACCAAGUCCACAAACCUCAUAAACUAAGUUUAUGAACCAUGAACCAUGAACCAUGAACCAUGAACUAAGUCUAUAAACCUCAUCCAUGAACUAUAUCCAAGUUUAUGAACCAUACACCAUAAACCAUAAACCAAGACCAUAUACCCAACCUUAUGAACCAUAAACCAUAUCCAAGUUCAUGAACCGAGUCUCAUGAACCAUACCCCAUGAACCAUACACCAAUUCUAUACAUGAACCAAAUAAAUCAAAACCCAUAUACCAAGUUCAUGAAUCAUAAACCAAGUUCAUGAACCAAAUCUCAUGAAUUAUACACCAAAUCCCAUAUACCAAAUCUUGAAUCUUUUCUUUACUCUAGCUCAUAUACCUAGAGUGAAAAUUAAAUAUCGACUACCCCUAAUACAUAUACUUAGGGCUAAGUUAAUUGCCUUAGCACAUAUACUAAGGCAAAACAUUUCCAAAUCGACAUAGUUCUAAAUUAUAUCCUUAGAAUUCAAUCAAAUGAUAUCAAGUUCAUGCGAACUCUAACACAUAUACUUAGAGUUUAUCUGACUAACCCUAACACAUAUCUUUAGGGUCUAGUCAGACUUUUGCUCUAGCACAUAUACCUAGAGUGGAAGUCAAACCAAGCUCGACUAGUCCUAACUCAUAUACUUAGGGUCUAGUCAGUCUUUUGCUCUAGCACAUCUACCUAGAGUGAAAUCCAUACCCGAUCGAGCUCUAAUACAUAUACUUAGAGCUCAAAUCCGACGGAGCCUAACAUAAUACCUUAGGGCUUAGUCAGAUCCUCACUUUAGCACAUAUAACUAGAGUGAAAAAUAUAUUAAACUCGGUUAAUCCUGAUACAUAUACUCAGGAAUUAACCACCCUCUGCUUUCGGGUAAUUCGACCCACCUCAAUACAUAUACAUGAGGUCGGGUCACAUCUCCACUUUGGAAUAUACAACCAAGGUAAAUAUAAUUGGACUCUAAGACAUAUGCUUAGAGCCAAUUAGACUCUAAUACAUAGAGUUUAAUAUCAACUAGGUCUUAAUACAUAUACUUAAGACCUAGUCAAUCUCAAAUCGAACUGAAUUCUAAUACAUAUACUUAGGAUUCAAUAAACCAAGACACGAUUCAUUUCAUCCUCUCUACAAAAGUCUCUUAAUCGAAGGUAUCCCAAUGCCACGGGGGUAAUUAACAAUAGAUGCUUGCAUCUAUUGGAAGCCAUAGACCCGUGAUACCUGAUACCCACAUACAUAUAAAUACUCAUCUGAAUCAUGAAUACUACCCCACGGCCGAAAUCCAUCGACCGUGCGAGGUGCGUCAUUCGUGGUGGCAGACAAAAUGGCACGCCCGGUGGGACAUGGCUUCUCCUUCCAUCUUCGAGACCUUAAAAGAAAAUAAUAAUAAUAAUAAAAAUAGGGUUGUGUAAAUAAUUUCUAACUUCUACCUCUUUGCAACAGGAAAUGGCACCAACAUCCAAGAACGUAGUCGCUGCGUCAACAAACUCAAUGAUAUUGGAGUCGGGUUCGCGAGUCUGCUUGCCCACGUCCAUCCUGACAUUCGGAACGACAGGUGCCUCAAUCCAAUUCGGCACCAUUCCUGAAGAUGUUCGAGCUGCUGUCAUGGCUCAAAUUCCUGCUAUUCCUGGGGGCAUGACCAUUCCAGCCGCCCCUUCUCAUGAUGAAUCCAAUAUGGUCAUUCCUCGACUGUCAUUUCGAGGAAGACGACCUAAUGUGGUCAUCCCCAAUCCUCAUCGCCGACCUAUGGGCGAACGUCUCACUUACCAAUCUGCAUCCAAGGGGAUGGAGUCUGAGGGAAGACUGAUAUUCCCAAAUGCCAAAGUACAGAAAGCAUCGGUAUUCUAUAGGCUGGCGCUUUCUAAUGAUAACACAGUCACCAUUCCUUCCACAAGAGCGUCCUUUAAGAGGAAUAGCCGCCGCCAACUAAACAGAGGAAAGUUUACUGGGGGCAAGGAUAAUAGAGUUCAGGAGCCCCAAAUGAGCCAGUCAGCAUUUGCGAGUCACAACUUUUUCGCUCCAUUAGAGCUUGUGAAAAAGAAUGCGAUGACCGCUAUCUUACGGCCAAUGAAUCGGCCAGAAGCUUUAAGGAGAAACCAAGGGACUAUCAAAAGACAUGAAGAGGAAAAUAUUUCUAAAAGAAUUUACGAGGCUUAUAAAGUUGUUUAGGGGCGAAUGGGAAGAGUGAGAGCUCAGAAACAAUCGUUACCUCAUCGUAACAAAGUGUGGAUAUGAAAAGAAUCUGUACCAAUAACUAAGGACUCACAUGAAAGGAGAGAAGAUAUGGUGGUCCAUACCGUUCGAAUGGUUGGACAUCAAGAGCCCGAUCAAUCGGAGGAGCAAGAGACGCUAAAUCAGAUGCUUACUAGAGCUGCCGCUCGCAGGAAGGCGAUAGUGAGACAAAAUGACCCAAAGUCCUCUAACCUGCAAAGGUUACCAACAGACUCGUCCUUACCCGACGACCCUCAUGAUGAGGACGAAGAAGAAGAACAAGUCUUCAUGGCCAACGAUCCAAAAGAUGCCAUGAUCGCAUCUUUAAAAAAACAAAUUAGUGAAAAAGAUAGAGAUAUAAUUAAUCUCUAUAAAAAGAUGGACGAUGUUAUGGGGCUGUUACUGAAUGUAUAGUCCAAUCUCGAGAAUCAGCGAAACCAACAUGCACCGCAGUUAGAUGAAGUACGUCCGACUGUAUCCCAAUCAAUGAAUACACAGCAGCCAGCUCAGACGACGCUAUCUGUCGCAAUUCAGUCGGCACCAGCAGAACCACAAGACCAUCAAAGCAGCUUUCCUAUGAUGAAGGAACAGAUCCGGGAGCUGAUUUCAUCGCAAGUCAAACAAAUGAUUGAUGAAGCAGCUCCGAAAUGAAGAAGCAGAGGGCACCCAUACCCCAUAGAAUACGAUAGUAUCCCAUUUCCUGAUGGGUAUAUCGUCCCCAAAUUCAAGACAUUUUAUGGAAUAGGCAACCCUGAUCAGCAUUUGGCACACUUCAGAGCCACAUGUGGGAAUACUGGAGGUAAUAGUGCACUCCUCUUACAUUAAUUCCCUCAGAGUCUUUCGGGAGUGGCAUUCGAGUGGUAUUACUCACUCGAAGAUGAAUCCAUCGCGACAUGGAAUGAUAUGGAGGAAGCUUUUAGAAAUAAAUUUGCCAGCGUUAGCGAUAAGAUUACAAUAGCCGACCUGGUCGCCACAAGAAGAAGGAAGGACGAAUCGAUGCUAGAAUACAUCAUACGGUGGCGAAAUCUGAGCAUCAGAUGUGAACAACCUAUUGAACAGACUCAAGCAGUGGGGUUGCUUAUGGGUAAUGUUGAUAAUUGGAUGGCUCCAUUCCUAUGUACCACGAAUUGUACUACAUUUCAGGAUUUAAUAUUAAAUGUUUUGAGGUUAGAAAGAACAGAUCCACACGCCCUCAUUAAUCUCCAAAAACCCAAACGAGAAGAAGGAAAGAAAGUUGAAGUAAAGGUCGAACACUCUAAGGCGACACGUACUGCACGUACUAAUAUAAUGGAGAAAGGAAAGAAAGUUAUGACUACUACAACAGAACGAGCAUCUCCGAAGCCUAUAUUGGGUGGAAAUAACUUUAAAGGACCAACUUUUGAAGAAAGCAAGAAUAAAAUUUAUCCCUUUAAAAGGGACAAAGUGAAAAAAAUCUUUAGGGAUGCGCUAAAAAGCGGUCUUCAACUGCCGGAGCCAAAAAGACUAGAAGAUGUCGAGAAGGUUAAUGAUCCAAACUACUGUGUAUAUCACCGAAUAGUUGGCCACCAAUUUUGUGAACAUAAAAGACGAAAAUAAUGAAGAAGAUGACACGCCUCCUCCUGAAUUCUGGAACAUCUUUUUAUCGAAAAAGACUCAUAAAAUGUUGAAAUAUUUGAAUAUAGUUCCUGAUAUUACAUGGAGAAGUCCACUACAUCCGGAAGUUCAGACUUCUUCAUCUGAGAUAGCACCUAAUCAUCCUUCAGAAAAGCGAAAAGCAAGCUUAAAGAAGAGGGUACGAAAGCCAGCUCAGCCUGAAAAGCGGGAUGAAACAUCACCGGUAACAAUACGAGGCUUCAUAGUAAAAGCACAAGAAGAUGUAGAGAGUAAAAAGAAGUCUCAGGAAACUAAGACGGACGAACUCUUUUGGCCUGAAACAUGUAAUGUCAUCUCAGUUAGAAGUGAUGAGAAUGAUUUCCCAAAUCGGCAAAGAGGGAAUGACAGCAAACAUCAAUUAGCACAAAUGCAAGAGAUCAUGAUCUCGACUUUUGAUAAAAUCAAUAAAAAAUUAUUGGAUCUGAAGAUACAACAGAAUAUGAUGUUCUCCAUGAUGAUUGGAAUUGAAGCAAGGAUAGAGCAGGUAAUAAGAAUGACACCUGCCCCUCAACAACGAAAUAAACAAAGAAGUGAGCCGGUAGAAGCAUUCGAGUCCCAGAUUGAUGGUGAGAAAGCUUUGACUCGAGGAACAUCAAAAGACGAAUCAUGUAUCAAGGAAACUUGUCGUGUUAUCACAAUAUCAGAUGGUACAUCCGAAAAUUUCAUGAUAAAAAGAAGGCAAGAUAAACGACCAAUUGCGGUGAACACAAACGAGGAUGACAUAUGGGAUCUAUAUGAAACUUCGAGUCCUUCCAAUGAAAUGAAAAGAUUGGACGGGAUAGAACCACGCCUACUUGGAGUCGAGUGUGAAUUAAAGAUCCUUCGCUUAGAAGUGCGAUCUUUGAAGAGGAACCUAGACUGUGUGGCUACUGGUGUAAAAAGUCUUAGCACCCAAAUGAAAGACAUAAUGAGUAUGUUGCAAUCACAGAGCUCCAAGAGGCCUCGGGUCGAGACUUGUUUAAUGAUCAAUGGUGAUAUUCAUGAGGAACCUGAAGGUUCCCUUCAGAUCAAGUUGAAGUCUGGAAAAGUGCUACAUGAGAGGCAGGCUCCCCCACAAAAAGAUAAAGAUAAGGAAAUACAAAUAAAUGAAGAGGCUCCAACGUCCUCAAACCAACUAAAAAUGACAAAGAGCGAGUAUAAUAUCCUUGCACAUUUAAGAAAAGUACCGGCCUUGUUGAGUGUGUAUGAAGCACUCAUGAUGUCUAAAGAGCUUCGGGAUGUGCUAAUUUAUGCUUUACAAAAUCCGGAGCCCUUUCAAGCAUUUUUCGCGGAGGCGAAUAUGAAGGAAGCACUGUAUCUUAUCCAUACGGCUAAUACCACCUUUACAGACAAGGAUUUAUUGCUCGGAACAACUCAUCAUAAUAGGCCAUUGUACGUAACAGGAACUUGCGAUGGGGACAAGAUUAACCGCAUCUUGAUUGACCCAAGAUUCUCAGUUAACAUUCUAACUUUGAGGACCCUAAGAAGUUUAGCGAUGGACAUAAGCCAUUUAUCAUUUGAAAAAAUUCUAAUCCAGGGGUUUAAUCAGCAUAGUCAAAAGGCAUUGGGAUCAAUCACACUCCCUAUUAAGUUUGGAAAGCUACGCACUAAAGUUAACUUCUAUGUUAUAAAUGCAGACACUUCAUAUAAAUCUUUACUAGGAAGACCGUGGCUACAUGAAAAUCACAUCAUUCCUUCUACUCUCCAUCAAUGUAUGAAGUAUAUCAAAGAUGGACAGGAGCAUAGAAUCGAUGGUGACAUACGCCCAUUUGGAGUUCACGAAGUGCGAUAUUGNGUCACUGACAUCUAUUGUAGCUUUGGGCCUUGUGGUGCAUUCACUGAAGUCAGUAAUUGCCCACUGGGAACUAUUCUUAAUAGUUCUCACGCCCCUGUUUCUAUGUUUCAUUUUCAGAGCCUUCGGCACCGGCGGAGGCACGGGAUCGCGGCAAGGGUGUCGCGUAGCUAGCUCGCGGAGAGUUCUUUUGCCUAGGUGGUUUACUCCUCCAUUUUAUAUUUUGAGAGAGUGUGAGGUUUUGUACUCUGUAUAGAGAGACCACCUUGUACUCCUUUUAGCACUUGUUAUAGGAUCCCCAUUGUACUUACUUUAUAUUUUAUUUAGUGGAUUUACAGUUUUAACUUUAUCCCUUGUUGUAGCAUUUAGACUUUUAUUAUGCUCUGAUACUACUAGAUGUCUUGUAUUAUUACUUUUAUUAUUAUUGUUUUUAGACGCCUUAUAUGGCCGGUCUGGGCAUGCGCCGGGCGGGCUUUCGCUGGGUCCCGGGGCGUGACAUCCGAGGAGGCACUGCAACAUGUUAGUUCAACAAUAUACAACAGAUAUAUAUAUUUAUUUGAAAUACAUGCCAUGCCUCACGAUAUGCGAUAUGAAAAUCAUGCAACUCUAUGCAGUAACUAGUAGAUCAAUUGAUUCUACACUUUACCCGGCUACUCUUAGCUCAUAUCUUUACUCUAAGGUUUCUAUUACCUUAGGAUCUCAACUCAGUCCACUGGCUUCUAAGGUCUCCAUUACCUCAGCUCAAGCCUCUAUCUCUAGCUCAUAAGGGUUCCUCUACCCUAUCGAAGCUAACCACCCGACUCGGCUUCGAGUCAAUCAUCUGCGGAGAGUCCGCGCACUGGCUGCUCAUCAGCCUACCGCCGCCCUCUCUCUGUCUCAACCCCCUAGAGGCGAAGUUGUCGCACACGCUAAGCACGGCUCAAGUCGCAUGACUUGACCAUCUGGCGGCGAUCACGUUGCUCUUACCCAGCGUGAGCUUGAGACUUGACACACCGUCUGGCGGCGAACGGAUCGCACCUCACCCAACAACGGUACAUGUCAGACUCAGCCACCUGGAGGCACCCGCAUCGUACUUACCCAGCAUGGAUUCAGUCUACUCUGGUGGUCUGAUCCUCAAAUGGCUUAACCAUCCGGCGACGAAAUCGUCGCACAAAUGCCACGACAAUGGUUUAAGCCCCGGGCGGUGAUCUCCAUGUGAUCGCCCCCAAUCCUCCCUUGGUAUCAACCUCGGCGGCGAAGUCGUCGAACACGCCCUAGCCUUGAUACCAGGGUCAUCACAAGUCCUGGGAUUCCGGAAUCCACCUUCCACAGGUCGAGGGUCCAUACCCAACCCUAUACUGUCGACCUAGCUCAUCCUAGUGGCUAUACCACUAUACCCAACAACCUAGGUUUCAACACUCUAGGUUCUAUAUCCAUGUCACUUAACCUAGUUACGAUUGCUAGGUUCUUGUCCUCUUUGCCUAGAUGUCCAUUUCUAGGUUUACUAGUUCGACCUAGGUUUACUAACACUAGGUUCGAUGCCACACCUAGACUUGUUCGACUCUAGGUUCAUUUGUUUAACCUAUUUUCUCUAACACUAGGUUAGGUGCCACUCGAUCUAGUUGACAUCCUAGUUGUCCAGUCGAGUCUCAUUACCCAUCAACUCUACAUUUUUAGAGUUAUCAUCUAGUUUACAUGCAUAUAUAUAUAUAUAUAUAGCAUUAUUCAUAUGCAUCUACUUAGCAUCUUCAUCUAUGCACUAUUAUUAACAUGCAUUCUUUAAUUUUGCUAACAUUAUUUACAUGUCGUGCUCAUCGUGCUUGCUACUUGGCAUUUUACUCUAAGCAUUAUCAUUCAUCAUGCAUUACUUGUUCUUGUCUACAUGCACAUGCAUCAACAUGAGAUUACAUUGCUUAGACAUAGAGGGCGACCUAGUCGCUUCGGUAAGCACAACCCACCUUAGUUAGCUUUCUAAUUGCUUGUCGACACUUGCAAUCGGCCUCCCGCGACACUCGGCACCCGUUUGGGCCCGAUUCACAGUUGCUCCCCAAGAGCGCGCCGCUUUGCCGUUUCAAGUGCUAACGGUCUUCGCCUCGCCGUAACGGUGCUUGGGACCCGAUUUCACGAUUUAUGGACGUCUCCUGGGCCUUCCAGGCGGAAGCGAAGCUCCAAGCAUCCGUUUCUUCAAUAUCUUUGCAACGUCUUGUCGGAUUGCCGAACCGACUUCGCCAACGUGUUUCGUUACCUAUCAAUUAGGUUAAUAGAGGGUCAAAUGAGAUCAAACCCUCCCAAUUCACAAAAUCCCAUUUUGGGUGCCCUAAAUGCUAUUACUACCAAAUCCACCAAAUUGAUCCAUGAAAUAGGGAAAAACCGUCUUAAUAGCAUGCUAGGGUUCCAUUCUAACCAUUUCUAGAGAUCAAAACCCUAUCUUUAAGGAUUUACUAUGAGAGCGCUUGGAAGCUUACCUCUCCAAGAGCUCUAAUGGCAAGAAGAAGAUGAAGAGGAUGACGAUGAUGAUGAUCCUCUUCUUCUCCUCCAUCUUCUCCUUCUCUUCUUCUUCUCUUUUCCUUUCUCCCUUCUCUUCUUUUUCUUUUUCUCCGCACGAUCGGAGUGAGAGAGAGAGAGACAGUAAGGGAGAGUGUGAGGGAGUGAGACAGAGAAAGAGAAGGACACCCCUCUAAUAACCCCUCUCAUAUGGCCAUUUUGCACAUAAGCCCCUCCACUUUUCAUCUCUUACACAGCCCUCACUUGGCGUUCUGCGCGCGGAGGGACCGGUCUCCCCGACCAGGGACUGGUCCCCGAGAGCUCUCCCAGACAGCACGCGUACGGGAACCGGUCUUUCCCUGAGGGACCGGUCCCCCGGAGACCGGUCUGCCCACCAGAGACCGGUCCUCGACAGCUUGUCUCGCGGGACUUAGCCGAUUUUCGGCUAUUUCCGCUGGGAUCACCUACGGGGACCGGUCCCUUCCUGACCAGGGACCGGUCGCACCAGUGACCCCAGCCUCUGCUGAUGGGACUAGUCUCUCCAACCAGAGACCGGUCCCCGAGGGAAACUUCAGCCCAAUAAUGCAAUUUGCAUGAUUUGCCCUCGCGGACUCCAUUCCAAUGCACUUCUUGGAUCUUGUGCAUCCCAAGCUUUUCCAAAGCUCACCAACUCGACCACUAGUUGAUUCUGGAUGAGGUGCAGCUCUCGAAUUUCGAGAAUUCAUAAUGUUACACAUGGCAUCCCACUGACAUCUUUGUUGCAUCCGGGACGAGUCGUAGUCCCCGAUCAUACUUUGGAUAUUCGAGAGUUUUGCCCCAGUUGUCCUGUUCGGGUUGGAGAUUGGGUCAUGCCCGUGGACUUGCUAGCUUUGCAUAAACUCGGAGAGUUUGAUGUUGUUUUGGGCAUGAACUGGUUGACCAAGUACUACGCCACUAUCGAUUGCAAGAAUCGAGCUGUGACGUUUAGAGAGCCGGGGCAGGCGGAGGUUGUGUACCGAGGAUGCCAGAGUUCGCUGUUUGUGAUGACGAUUAGCUCCUCUCGAGCUAGACAGUUGAUCAGCAGAGGCUGCGUAGCCUAUUUGUCUACUGUUGUGUUGCGAGGCGAUGUAGACGCCCCUAGGAUUGAGGAUAUCCUCAUAGUACGGGAGUUUGGAGAUGUAUUUUCAGCAGAGCUUCUAGGCAUGCCACCUGAUAGGGAGAUUGAGUUUGUGGUAAAUCUCAUUCCCGGGACUACUCCAAUCUCAUUGGCGCCCUAUAGGAUGGCACCAGCGAAAUUGAAGGAGCUGAAGGCACAAUUGCAAGAUCUUCUAGACAAGGGCUUUGUGCGACCGAGUGUGUCACCUUGGGGAGCACCGGUCCUAUUUGUCAAGAAGAAGGAUGGAUCACUUCGCUUGUGCGUGGAUUAUCGUGAACUCAAUAAAGUCACGAUCAA